GCACCUACCUUCCUCUCUCGAGCUUCUCUGCAGAUGAGCAUGGGGAGUGCCUCCCUGUGAGCACCGGCUCCGUCCGCGGGAUCUCAACUCCCCCCUCUCUCAAUGGAUCCAUGGUGGGGCAGUCCGGCAUGCGCACGCGUGCAGCACGGUUGUGGCGUCGAGGCAGCUCAUGUUGUUCCUUCAGGUAGUGGAGUGUUGGUCUUUAGUUCAGAAAAUAAUUGUUUAGAUUUUGCCGAUGCAGUGCGGUGAGCAAUUCAACUGUGUAUUUCUGAGAUUUUGCUUUCAGCUUGGUUUGUGUGCGUAGUGCAGUUUGUUGCUACGGGUGGCUGGCAUCAACGUGCCUCCAGGAGCAGCCCACUCCUCAACUCGUCAUAGUUCCCUGGCGGUGGGAGAGAAGUGCAGUGCUCUAUGGUGCUCUCUUUCACGGGAGCAGGUGGUCAUCCGCUGCGGUGCAGCUCAAAAACAUGUGCCAGGCAGUUCUGUGCUUUGGCCAGGCGACGACGAGUGUUGCCCCCGGUCAACGCCAUUGUGCCUCCUUCUGCCGAGUGCAGUACUGACCUCACUACAGUACAUAUUUCCAGUGCAUGCAGCUCGCAACCCGCCAAUGUGCCAUGCAGCAAAACUUCUGCAGUUUUUUUGUUCUUUUGUUCCAAAAUUCAUAUGGUUGUGCUCAUAAAGAAAAACUUCUAUAGAGAAAAAAUAAAGAGGAAGUACAGUGCACUCCGGUCUUAAAAGAAGUCCACUCCGAAGGACUUUAAAGUACACAUCACUUGGAAAAAUGUAUUUAAAAAAAUUAUGUUGUGUUUGUUGAAAGACAUUUAAACUAGUAAAAGAAAGUAAUGCGGUUCACUCUUAAGAGUGUUGUGGAUCACUUUCAAGAGUGUUGGGGUUCACUUGCCGUCGUCUAUGUGGUCCAUUAUCGUUCAUAAAAAAAUAGUAAGAAAAAGACAACAAAAACUCGUAUGAGAAAAAUUACGUCUAACAAAAGAAAUUAUGCAGCUCGCUUGCUCGUUCGAUGCAGUGCGGUUUUCAUUCUGAAGUAGUGCAGUCAGCCGUAUGAUGUUGUUCAUCCCGUAAGUGCAACAAAAAUUGUUACGAAAGUGAAAAAAAGUAAUGCGGUUCACUUCUUGAUAGUGUUGUGGUUCAUUUACACCCGAUGUGAAGUGCACUCUACUUUCUCGUUCUUGAAAAAAAUUACGUUUGAAUAAAAGAAACCAUGCAGUUCUCUUACCCGUGUGAUGCAGUGCGGUUUUUCGUCUGUUGUAGUGUGGUUUUCAGUCGGAUGAAGUACUCACGUCGAUUUGGGUGUCGCGAAAAACAGAGUGUCCGCAUUUCGGUAAAUUCGUAAUUUCUCUUAAACCAUAAAGAAUUAGAGAGAGUGUUCUACAUGAAAGAGUUGCGUAUCGUCGAUAUCUUUCCAACGGCGUAUCGUUUGAAUCAUUCCGACCAGCGGUUUGCAAAAAUUUCACCAAAAACGGCCGCUGCUACUCGUCGUCUGCCACAUGAUUUUCAAAAUUAACUUAAAACUGGAAGGAAUUUCAAAAAUAUUUCAACAUAUGAAAAUUGCGCCUCGUUCGUAGCUUUCCAACAACCUAUCACACGCCUUGUUUCGACAAACGGUUCAAAAACUGGAGCGAAAACAGUACCGAAAAUUUGAAAAACAGAAUUCCGCGAUUUAGUAAAUUUGAAACUGCUCUUAAACCGUAAGGAAUUAGAGAAAAAUUUAUAUAUGAAAAAUAUGUGCCUCGACGAUAUCUAUCGAACGGCAUAUCAUUUGCUUCAUCCUGACGAGCGGUUUAGAAGGAAUCGUGAAAAGCGCUCGCUACCACUCGUCAUGGGCCGCACCAUUUUUAAAACUGUUCUUAGACCUUGUGGAAUCUCAAAAAGUGUUCAACAUGUCGAAGUUGCGCCUAAUCCAUAGCUUUUCAACGGUAUAUUACACGCCUCAUUUUGAUAAACGGUUAAAAAAUUAGAGUGAAAACAGUACCCAAAAAAUAACGCGUGCAGUUUUUUCCGAUGAGAAGGUCACUCGUGUGAGUACUGCAGCACACUUGGUUAAAAAAAUGACAUGCACUUGCGUUUAGCGUGCACUGCGGAAGCGGUGUGCAGAAUAGUUAUUCUGCUAAUAUUAGCAGAAUAGACCGUCUGUAACGCGCCUGACCUUUGUGAACUAGGUUGAACUUCCCGCAACAUUGCACAAAUAGGGCUUGCUAUAUAUCGUUGGAAAGCUAUGGACACCAAUAUCAUGAACCAACUUAAAUUUUUGGCAAAAUAUAAGCGGUUAAAGAGCUAUUUUAAAAACCAUUUUUUCUUCGCACAAAAAACAUGAAUCAUAUUUUCGAUCGCAUUUCUAAACCGUUUAUCGGAAUGAGGCAUAUAAUAUGGCGUUGGAAAGAUGCUGCAAAACCGCUCCUUCCACAUGUUGAAAGUUUUUUCUAAUUCCCUAUGGUUAAAGAGUAAUUUGAAAAAAUGUAAAAUUUUGUAAACCGAACAGAUGAGUUCGUUUUUUCGAUGUCAUUUCUAAACGGCUAAUCCAAUGGAGGCAUAUACUAUGGCGUUGGAAAGCUUAUGAAAAUGCGCUACCUUUUCAUCUUGACAAUUUUUUUCUAAUUUUGAAUGGUUUAAGAGUAAUUUAGAAAAUGGUCCAAGUCCUACCGAGUUCGUAUUUUCGAGCUAAUUUUUUAACCGUGCGUCCGAAUUCAGCAAAUGAUAUGGCGUUGGUGAGCUUGAACAAAUGGGAAACUUUUUGGUAUGUAUUGUUUCUCCCAAUUCUUUACAAUUUUAAGUUAGUUUCGAAAAUGGCAAAAAAUGUAUUUUCGCCGUAAUUUCUAUGAACUUUAUCGGAAUUGGGCAAAUAAUAUACCGUUGAAAAGCUACAGAAAAUGCAAAACUUUUGCAUGUUGAUGGUUUUGUCUGAUUCUAGCCGUUUUCAAGUAAUUUCGAAAACGGCGGGAUCAUUCAUUCUGCCUCUACCGCGAAACAGAUUCUUCAAAAAUGCACCGCGUGAAGAACCUGAACUUCUCGAUGCGUGUACCUGAACUUCACUCUAUUUUUCACGUGAUUUUUUUGCUCGUAGAUCUUCAUCCACUGCUCGUAGCUCUCCAUCCCACUCACGGGAGUUGAGCGGGUGAUAUACCGAUGGAAAGCUGCUGUAAACACGCAACUUUCCCGUGUUGAUCAUUUUUUUCAUACUCGCGAUGAUUUUGAAAGUUUUUCAUCUGAAAUUCAUUCAGCGUAGUAGUUGAACUUCAUGCUAUUUUCACGUUGAACUUCUGUGACUUAUUUUUGUUUGUACACGCGCCUGAACUUCCCUCUGUACGAACCCAACCUUUAUCGGAAUUUUGAAAACCGUUUUUUCUUCAUACAAAAAACGUGGAUCGUAUUUUCGAUCGCAUUUCUAAACGUUUUAGCAACUAAAUACUCAUUUUAGAUAGGAAUCUCGCUCAUAGGCGGAUUUUGCACUCGGGUCGUGAAGAACUCGCAUUUUUUGCGAUUUUACUGCCUGAGUUGUUCGACCUGAACUUCCCACUGUGCUAGGUUGAACUUCCCGCAACAUUGCCCAAAUAAGGCCUGCUAUAUACCGUUGGAAAGCUAUGGACACGAGUAUCAUGACCCAAGUUAAAUUUUUCGCAAAAUGUAAGCGGUUUAAGAGCAGUUUUGAAAACCAUUUUUUCUUCACACAAAAAACGUGAAUCGUAAUUUCGAUCGCAUUUCUAAACCGUUUAUCGGAAUGAGGCAUAUAAUAUGGCGUUGGAAAUCUGCUGCAAAACCGCUUCUUCCACAUGUUGAAAGUUUGUUCUAAUUCCCUAUGGUUAAAUAGUAAUUUGAAAAAACAUAAAAUUGCGUAAACCGAACAGCUGAGUUUGUUUUUUCGAUGUCAUUUCUAAACGGCUAAUCCAAUGGAGGCAUAUGAUAUGGUGUUGGAAAGAUUAUGAAAAUGCGCUACUCUUUCAUCUUGAAAGUUUUUUUCUAAGUUUGAAUAGUUUAAGAGUAAUUUUGAAAAUGUCCAAGUCCUACUGAGUUUUUAUUUUCAAGCUAAUUUUUUAACUGUACGUCCGAAUGCAACAAAUGAUACGGCAUUGGAAAGCAUGAGGAAAUGUGAAACUUUUUUAUAUAUAUUGUUUCUCUCAAUUCCUUAUUGUUUUAAGUCGAUUCUAAAAAUGGCUAAAAAUGUAUUUCUGCCGUAAUUUCUACAAACUUUAUCGGAAUUGGACAAAUAAUAUAUCGCUGAAAAGCUACGGAAAAUGCAAAACUUUUUCAUGUUGAUGGUUUUGUCUGAUUCCUAGCCGUUUUCAAGUAAUUUUGAAAAUGGCGGGAUCAUUCGUUCUGCCUUUAUCGCGAAACAGAUUUUUCAAAAAUGCAUCGCGUGAAGAACUUGAACUUCUCAGUGCGUGUACCUGAACUUCACUCUGUUUUUCAUGUGAUUUUUCUUGCUCGUAGCUCUUCAUCCAUUGCUAAUAGCUCUCCAUCCACUCACCGGAAUUGAGCAGGUGAUAUACCAAUGGAAAGCUGUUGUAAACACGCAUCUUUCCCGUGUUGAACAUUUUUUCAUACUCGCGACGAUUUUAAAAGUUUUUCAUCUGAAAUUCAUUCAGCGUAGUAGUUGAACUUCAUGCUGUUUUCACCUUGAACUUCUGUGACGUAUUUUUGUUUGUAAUUUUCUCAUCCAUUUUGUCAGUGUUACACGAAUGAUAUUUUUUUGUACAAACCUCUCUCACAAUAAUUUUUUUAACUUUCCCCGACCGAGGACUUGAACUUAUAACAAAAAAAUUGGACCUUGCCUUUUAAUUCAUUUUUCUCGUAUCAAACACACACCAUGUAGUACAUGAACUUUUUCCAUUUUUAUAAUUUGAAUUUUUUAUUUCUUUUUGAAAUCAAAUUGUACCCAAAUACUAAUUGAACUUCUUUGUGGAUUGAGAGAAUUAUUUUUAAACCCAGAAAAACAAUUUCUUUUUAGUGUUUUCGAACAUGGAAAUACAAGGUGAACCUUUCUCGUAAGAAUUUUUGAACUUCCCCGGACAGAGCACUUGAACUUCUUGCAACAAACCUUUUAAGCCUUUUGUUUUCUAUUCUUAUAUUUUUGUGUGAAACGCAUUCCAUGUGGUAGUUGAACUUCCCGCUCUUUUCACCUUAAACUUCUGUCACGUUUUUUUGUUCAACCUCUCUCACACGAAUUUUUGAAUCUUCUCGUGCCGAGCACUUUGUGCUUGUAGCAACAAAUAUUUCAACCUUUGCUUUUUUCUUUCUUUUUUUAAUACAAAAUGCACACCAUGUAGUACGUGAACUUCUGUUAGUUUUUAAUCUGAACUUUUCUCCGUUACAUGAAAAUAUCUGAGUAUUUUAUGAAUUUUAAUCUGAAUUUAUCAAUCCUAUUUUAUGAAUUUUGGAGCGCUCUAGUUUUAAAAGUUGAAAUUCUUGUUAUUUCCUUUUUAAACUUCUUGUUUCCAUUUUUUAAUAACGAGGAAAAUCUGAAUUUUCUAUAGUCAUCGAACUUCUCCACCUUUUUAAUAUGGACUUCCUAUUUUCAUUUCUUAAUCUUUUUUAUGAAAUUUUGAAGCGUUCUAUUUUUCAAAGUUGAACUUCUUAUUUUUUAUGUUUUGAACUUUUUGUUUCCAUUCUUUAAUAACGAGGAAAAUCUAAGUUUUCUAUAAUCAUGGAACUUCUAUAUCGAACCGCUCUAACUUUUCCUCACAUGGUUUUAACACACAUCUAACCAUCAAGAUGUUCUAAAAUUUGAACUUCUGAGUUUUAUUCUUUUAAUAAUGAGAAAAUUCUGAUUUUUUAUAGGCAUUUGAACUUCACCAUUUUUAAAAUUUGAACUUCUUAGUUUUUGGUUAGUAAGGAAAAUUUCUACUUUUAUAAACAUCAAACCACUCCAUUAUUUUAAUUUGAAAUUCUAGUUUUUAAAAACAGGGGAAAUCAUUUUAUAUUAUUUUUGAAAUGUUUUUUUAAGUUGAAUGUUUUUGAACUUCUUCAUCCAUUAUUAUUUUUGAGGUUCUACAUUUGUAUUGUUUGAACUUCUCAUUUAUUUUAUAAUUGAACUUCUUGGUUUAUGAAAUAAACAACAAACUUAUCCGUUAGUUAAAUUCGACCUAUAGGUUAUUUUUUUAAACAAGGAAAAUCCAUUUGGGAAAGAGGGUCAGACGACCAUCUUCAUCAUGCGAGGGUAUGCAAUGACUGGCAUGAAGGCGUGCUCACUAGUUAUACUUUCUUCCUUUUGUUCUUGUUUGAACUUCGUCUUUUUUUAUUGACGAACUUCUCGUGUAUUUUUUACACCAUGUGUUUUGAAGUGAGAGACUGAUUGAAAUGUGCUUGUUGAUCUCACUGAAGUUUUUGAUUUGUUUGAAUGUUAUUUUUCUUCUUUAUUGUCAAGUAUUUCAUAUUUUGAACUUUAAUCAUUCUUUUUUGAACUGUAAGUAGUGAAAACCUUGGAGCAAAUAAAUUUGAAUUCUUUUAUAAGGUUCUAGUGUGAAUCGGAGUUCUAAAAUACAAGCUUUAUAGUUGACCAUGAGCAGUAGUCAAAUAGAACGUUGGCUUAUGCCGCGUCUAGUGCCCGGUUAGCAUAUGCCAAUGAAUGAUCCUGUACCAUCAUUCUGAAAUACUGUGGCCGAAUUUCAGGCACAUUCAAUUCAAAGCAUGCUUGAUAAAAUGCCAGGCAAUUAACUAGAGCAGAUAUAACUAACGCAUUCAAAAUCUGAAAGUCUGUCUAUCCUGCUGAACGCAUACAGCAAGUCAUAAAACUACAGCCAACAGGAUAUAUAAGCUUUGUUGACUAGCCAAACAUGAAGCCUGGUGUAGGAUAUUUACUUACAUCGACCUCUGAAACUUAAAUCCGACUUUAUUUACAGUCUAGACGCAAAGUUAGAAGAAGAAGGAGGCUGAUGUUAUGCAAACCUAGACAAGCUCUACACACUAGAUUCUGAAGGAUUGCGCAAAUUACAGAGGUUCUUACGGCUCCCCUCCUCGACUACACACCUAAGCCAGGCUGAGCGCCUACCAUUUCUGCAUAUCAACAACAUGUACAAAGCAGGAAAUCACAUCCAAUAAAACAAAGUUUUUUGUCGAAUAUUUUUUGCAUCAGACUUAACAUCACGUUCACACCACCACCACACAUUUUUUAUCCUGUUUACCAUUGCACAUUCUUUUUCCUCACACUCCGAAUUGUUUUUUGCUUUCUCUUCUUUAGAAUGGUAAAAAUGCAACGCUGUAGAAGCUAGGAAUUAGCAACUUUUUUUUAAGAAAACUAGUGACGGCGAGAGCUACAAUUUUUUUUGACCAUGCACACAAACAAAGAGAAAAAUGAUUCAGACCUACUAGAUAUUGCUUAAACGGUAGCAUCAAUACGUACACAUGGAAAUUCAAAGAAUGCCACUGUCGAUCUUUUCAGACUACUAAAUCAAACUGAACAGAAGCAUCAACUUGUUUUGAUGUACAAGCGAAGGGACAUAGAGGGAGAUUGGUGCAGGAGCUGGCUGCUCGUCAUAGCGUUUGCUGAAGAUGCAUCAGCCCAAUCUUCAGAUGCAUGCACCGCUGCCCGCACAAGUUCCAGCACGAAGGAGCACGGACGGACACAAGUGGGGCACUUGGACUGCUGAAGCGGCUGCCGGAGCAAUGUCCUACGGAGGCAGCGACCGUAGCUGGACAACAACGUGCAAGGGACGCGGCGUCGCAUGCGCGUGGGAUGGCCGGCUGCGGUGAGUGGGAUUUGGCCGGGGGCUCGCGACUCAGGUAGCCUGGCCACGCGCACGCAUAGUGGAGCGACGGUGGCGCCAUGGGAAGGUCGCGGGGGCACCCUGGGGCAGGUCGCGGUGGCAGUUGACGGCAGAUGGAGGCCACCUCCACGAUGGAAGCAGGGGAGGAAGGCCGGCGACGAUCUGAGUCAGCGGGGUCGUCCGAGAAGGAGGCCACGACGCGCGAGAGACCGUGGAAGUUGGAGGUUGGGGCGACGGCGCCGGUUGCCAGUGGAUCCAGGAGUUGGCGGGGUCGAUGGAGCUGGGUCGCGGUGGUGCGCGUGGCCGGGGCUGGUGGCUGCACCACCGAGUGGAGGUGGUGGCCGCUGCACCGGCUCGGCUUCCUGGUGGAGGCGGCAGCGAUGGGGGGCGGCGGUGGCAACGCGGGAGGUGGUCGGGUCCAGGCGACGGCGCGAGAUGUGGCCGGGGCCCGGCGGCGGCGUGGGGCGGGGAGGGAGGCGGCGGUGGCGCGAUGCAGUUCUGGGAAGGGGCCAGAUGGGAUCGGGGGAGCUUAGGUUAGGGGUGGGUGCGGUAGUUUUUCUUUUUUUUCACUGACCGGGGAUCUCAGGAACACCGCGCGCCUCGUGACGUGAUCCAAAUAAUUANNNNNNNNNNNNNNNNNNNNNNNNNNNNNNNNNNNNNNNNNNNNNNNNNNNNNNNNNNNNNNNNNNNNNNNNNNNNNNNNNNNNNNNNNNNNNNNNNNNNNNNNNNNNNNNNNNNNNNNNNNNNNNNNNNNNNNNNNNNNNNNNNNNNNNNNNNNNNNNNNNNNNNNNNNNNNNNNNNNNNNNNNNNNNNNNNNNNNNNNNNNNNNNNNNNNNNNNNNNNNNNNNNNNNNNNNNNNNNNNNNNNNNNNNNNNNNNNNNNNNNNNNNNNNNNNNNNNNNNNNNNNNNNNNNNNNNNNNNNNNNNNNNNNNNNNNNNNNNNNNNNNNNNNNNNNNNNNNNNNNNNNNNNNNNNNNNNNNNNNNNNNNNNNNNNNNNNNNNNNNNNNNNNNNNNNNNNNNNNNNNNNNNNNNNNNNNNNNNNNNNNNNNNNNNNNNNNNNNNNNNNNNNNNNNNNNNNNNNNNNNNNNNNNNNNNNNNNNNNNNNNNNNNNNNNNNNNNNNNNNNNNNNNNNNNUCAAUCAUGGAUCCGGACACCUCCCGCGCCGCCGGCUGUUCCCGGCCACCUACAGCGCUGCCGUAGGGCCCCUCCCCCGCUUCAAUCACGUAUCCGGCCACCGCGUGCACCCCACCUGGGAUCCAUUCACCGUCGUCUCCGGAUCCGGCCACCGCGAUGGCGUGCCUUCCACCGCAUGUUGUCGCCCCGCCUCCCAAUCGCGCUGCUGCCCACUUCCCCAUCGUGCCGCUGCCUUCUCCCAUCGCCCAACCGGCCGGGUCGCCCCACUAGCCCCUCUACACGCCGCCGCAGACGACAGCUGCACCCAUCCGCGAGGGUCGCGCACCAGCUACUGGCCUCGCGGUCCCCCUCCACCAGCCCCGGCCAUAGGCCUGCCUCCGCCACCGAGCGUUUGUCUCCCUCCAUCUUCCUCUGCAUGAUGGACGCCAUGGCACGAGAGCUUUUGUGAGCUCAGUGGGUUCCUGUGCGGCGUUGCAGUUCAAAAAAAAUAAGGAUAGAAGUUCGAGAAUACUUGUUUGAGAAGCUAUGGAUUUGUUCUGCUAAUUACUGAACCAAUAGUCAAUCUUAAAUGGUGAAAAUAAAAAGGAAAUCAUGUAGAAAAAGUGGUGUCGUUGUUCUGUUUACCUCGUUCACUUUGGUCCAAAAAAAAGAUUGUUAUUUGUUUAGAACAGGUGACAAAAAGAACGACUUUCAACAGAAGAAACUAGCGUUGUUGUUCAGUACAGAGUGCCAAUGAACAACAAGUUCACUUCUUGCUCUCUUUUUCUAUUUUACGUAGGAAAGAUGAUUUUUAGAUGCAAAAGAAAAAACGUAUGAAAGAUGAUUUCUUCAUGAAAAGUGUAUGGUAGUUGUGGGUGCGUGUGUUUUGUAUGUGUUUGUGUGAUGGGGUGUGUCCUUUUAUUUCAUUCAUGUGUGAAAGGAAGAAGAAUUCAUAUACGAGACGCGGAAAAAGUUCAAAAAAAUGUAAUAAAAACAAGUUUAUGCAUGAAAAUUAACUUAUUCUCUUGUAAGAAAAAACACACAAAGAAGUUCAAAUUUUACAAGAAAUGAUAACAUCGUUUUGGCGUUUUAUAAAAAGGGCUUAUAAACGGCGAUGAAUUUGAAAAAGAAAAUUGUCUAUAUGAAAAUUUUCCCCAAGGAUUUUCCCUGUGACACUAUUUUUGUAUGUUGGUACCAAGCUUGAUGAUGUAUUGGUGUGAUAUACUUGAUGAUGUAUUGGUUGUGCACGUAGCACACGAAGUGUAUGUAUAUUGUUGUGUGUAAUUUUCUUGAAUUUCAAUAGCAUGUGAACGGUUGAAAGGAAUAUUUGAUGUUUAUGGAAAACUCAGAUUCUUUUCAUUUCUAGGAAAAAUAAAAGUACGAGGUUCCAUUUAAUAAAAUGUUUGAUGCUUAUUUGAAAACAUGUUUAUUCUAAGAAAAAAGACUAAGAAGUUCAAUUUAAAAUAACAUAGAAGUUCGAAGUAUAUAAAAGAACUCAGAUUUUUUCUCGUCACUAAAGAAUAAAAUAAAGUUCAAAUUUAAAUAGGAGAGCAGUUUGAUAUUUAUUACAAACUAGUAUAUUUCCGUUUGUAAAAACUAAAAAACGAAGAAGUCCAAAUUAUAAAAAAUAAAUAAAUCCAAUAUUUAUAAAUCUCGGGUUUUCCUUGUUACUAAAGAAUAAAAUGAAGAAGUUCAAAUUAAAAUAAGGGAGUAGUUUGAUGUAUACAGAAAACUCAAAUGCUUCCCGUUUCUAGAAAAAACAAGAGUAUGAAAUUCAAUUUAGAAAAAAAAGUUUGAUGCUUAUCUGAAAACAUUUUUUCCCGAAAAAUACAUGGCCGAAGUUCAACGUGAAAACAGGGAGCAGUUCAAGUGCUAUAAGGAAUGCGUUUCAGAUGAGAAUAUAAUAAUACAAAAUUAAAAGCCUAAAAUGUUUGUUGAAAGAAGUUCACGUUCUCCACCCUGCAUGGUUCAAAAACUAUAUUACGAGACGUCCGACCUUCAAUUACAUGAUUAAAAAGAGAGAAUAAAACAACAUUUUUCCCAUUUUUAAAACUAUUCUCAAACUACAACGAAUUUGUAACACAUGUCUACAGGAAAAAGUUGCUCCUAUUCAUAAGCUUUCCAAAGAUAUAUUAUAUGCUACAUUCCGAUGUACAAUUAAAAAAAUUCAUGUAUACCAAUUAAAACACGUUUUUAUGUAUUGAAAAAAAUUCUUUUGAACCAUCACGAGUAUGAAAAAAUAAUCAACACAUCAAAGUUGUGUGUUUUCAACAGCUUUCCAUCGAUAUAUCAUUUUCUAAAUUUCGGUAAGUGGUUGGGGAGUUACGGGUAAAAAACAACACGUGAAAGACAGAGUGAAAUUCAAAAAUAACUGCUCCAGAAGUUCAACCUCUUCACGAAGUGCAUUUUCAGGGACUCUGUUUUUCCGAUAAAGGCAGAAUGCAUAAUCUCAGAAGUUCACAUUGAUAACUACCAGAAGUUCACGUACUACACGGUGUGCAUUUUGUAUUAAAAAAGAAUGAAAAUGCAAAGCAUAAAGUUUUGUUGCUAGAAGUUUAAGUGUUCGUCCUGAGAAAGUUCAAAAACUCUUGUGUGGGAGAGGUUGAAAAAAAUGCGUGACAGAAGUUCAAGGUAAAAACAACGAGAAGUUCAACUACUGCAAGGAAUGCAUUUCAGGUGAGAAUAAAAGUAUAGAAAAAUAAAAGCAUAAAAUGUUUGUUGAAAGAAGUUCAAGUGCUCUAUCCGAGGAAACAAGAAGUUUAAAAAUUAAAUAACAAAGAACUUCAACUUUUAAUAAAUAGAGCGCUUCAAAAUUUCGUAAAAAAUAUUAAGAAAUAAAACCAGGAAGUCCAUAUUAAAAAGAUGGAGAAGUUCGAUGAUUAUAGAAAACUCAGAUUUUCCUCGUUAUUAAAGAAUGGAAACAAGAAGUUCAACUUUUAAUAAUAGAGCGCUUCAAAAUUUCGUAACAAAAGAUUAAGAAAUAAAACCAGGAAGUCCAUAUUCAAAAGAUGGAGAAGUUCGAUGAUUAUAGAAAACUCACAUUCUCCUCGUUAUUAAAGAAUGGAAACAAGAAGUUCAAAAAUUAAAUAACAAGAAGUUCAACUUUUAAUAAUAGAGCGCUUCAAAAUUUCGUAAAAAAAGAUUAAGAAAAUCAGAUUAAAAAUUCAUAAAAAAGCUAAAAUAUUUUCACAUAACCGAGAGAAGAUCAGGUUGAUAACUGUGAGAAGUUCAUGUACUACACGGUGUUCAUUUUGUAUUAAAAAAGAAUAAAAAAGCAAAGGUUAAAAUUUUUGUUCUUAUAAGUUCAAGUCCUUCGUUGGAGAAAGUUAAAAAAAUUAUUGCGAGAGAGAUUUGUACAAAAGGAAUAUCAUCUGUGUAACACUGACGAAUGGAUGAGAGAAUUACAAACGAAAAUACGUCACAGAAGUUCAACUGAAAACAAUAGGAAGUUCAUUUACUACAGUGGAUGAAUUUCAGAUCAAAAACUAUUAAAAUCGUCGCGGGUAUGAAAAAAAUGAUCAAUACGGGAAUGUUGCGUGUUUACAGCAGCUUUCCAUCUGGAUAUCAUUUGCUCAAUUUCAGUGAUGGAUGGAAAUCUACGAGAAAGAAAACACGUGAAAAACAGAGUGAAGUUCAAGUAGACAUGCCGAGAAGUUCAAGUUCUUCACGCGGUGCAUUUUCGAAGAAUUCGUUUUGCGAUAAAGGCAGAACGCAUGAUCUCACUGUUUUUUAAAUUACUUGAAAACGGCUAGGAAUCAAAGAAAACUAUCAGCAUGAAAAAGUUUCACAUUUUCCGUAGCUUUUCAGCGGUAUAUUAUUUGAAAGUUUUCCAGUUACAUGGGAAAGUUUGAUAUUUAUUUGAAAAAUUGGACUUUUCCAGUUACUAAAGAAUAAAACCAAUAAGUUCAAUUCCAAAAAACGAAGAAGUUUGAUGUUUUUCUAAAAAACCUCCAAUUUUCACAUUUCUAAAAACACACAAUGAAGUUCGAAUAAAAAAGGUAGAGCGGAUCGAUGUCUAUAAAAAACUCAGAUAUUUUCAUGUAAUCGAGAGAAGUUCGGAUUAAUAACCGCGAGAAGUUCAAGUACUACACUAUGUGUAUUUUGUAGGAAAAAAAGAAUGAAAAAGCAAAGGCUAAAAGUUUUGUUUCUAGAAGUUCAAGUGCUCGGCCUGAGAAAGUUCAAAAAUUCUUAUGAGAGAGGUUGAACAAAAAAAUGUGACAGAAGUUCAAGGUGAAAACAUUGGCAUGUUCAACUACUACACAGAAUGCAUUUCAGAUAAAAAUAUAAGAAUAGAAAACAAAAGGCUUAAAAGGUUUGUUGCAAGAAGUUCACGUGCUCCUCCGUUCACGGUUCAGAAUUAAUAUUGCGGGACAUCCGACCUCCAAUUACAUAUUUGAAAAUGGCAAAAAAUGACGUCCGACCUUCAAUUGCGUGUAAUUCAACGUAUACACAAAAAUGUGACAGAAGUUCAUAGUGAAAACAAUUAGAAGUUCAAGUACUGCAAGGAAGACAUUUCAGGUGAGAAAUAAAAGUGUAGGAAAAAUAAAAGUUUAAAAGUUUGUUGAAAGAAGUUCAAGUGCUCUUUCCGGGGAAGUUCAAAAAUUCUUGCGAGAGAGGUUCACCAUGUAUUUCCAUGUUCGAUUUUUUUCGUAUAAAAAUCGAAUACAAUUCUUUACUCAAAAAUAUAAAAAGGUGAAGUUCAAAUUUAAAUAACAGAGAAGUUCGUAGUUUACUAAAACCUAGGAUUUACCUGUUCAAAAAAUAGAAAACACAGCGUCAUUUUUUGCACUUUUAAAAACAACUCAUAAACGAAAAAAUGGUUGCUAGAAGUUCAAGUGCUCGGCGAGGAAAAGUUCAAAAAGAGACAGGUUCACCGUGUAUUUAGAUGUACAAAAUACAUAAAAACUAUGUUGUUUUUUGUGUUUUAAAGUAAUUCUCUCAAACCAGAGAGAAGUUCAAGGUGAUAACAACCGGAAGUUCACGUACUACAUGGUGUGUAUUUCAUAUAAGAAAAAAUACAAAAAAAGUGAAACAGGGUGAAGUUCAAACAGAGAUGCCCCAGAAGUUCAACUACUUCACGUAGUGCAAAAAACACCAUGUAAAAAAUCAGCAUGUCAAAAACAAAGUGAAGUUCGAACAGACACGUCCUAGAACUUCAACUACUUCACGCAGUGCAAAAAACAACACGUUAAAAACAGUGUGAAGUUCGAACAGACAUGCACGAGAAGUUCAACUACUUCACGCAGUGUAUUUCCAUUCGCGAUGAAGGUAGAAAUCAUGAUCUCGUCAUUUUCUAAUUUACUUCAAAACAGUCGGAAAUAAUUUGUGUAAGUUCAAGUCCUUCGUCGGAGAAAGUUCAAAAAAUUAUUGGGAGAGAGAUUUGUACAAAAGGAAUAUCAUUUGUGUGACACUAACGAAUGGAUGAAAAAAUUACAAGCAAAAAUACCUCACAGAAGUUCAACUGAAAACAACAAGAAGUUAAACUACUACACUGAAUGAAUUUCACAUGAAAAACUUUUAAAACCGUUGCGAGUAUGAAAAAGUGAUCAACACAGGAAAGUUGCGUGUCUACAGCAGCUCUCCAUCGGUAUAUCACUUGCUCAAUUCUGGUGAGUGUUCCGGUGCGUGGAUGGAGAGCCACAGGCAAAAAAGCACGUGAAAAACAGAGUGAAGUUCGAGGUUUCAUACCGAGAAGUUCAGGUACUUCACGCGAUGCAUUUUUGACGAAUCUGUUUCGCAAUAAAGGCAGAACGAAUAAUCUCUCCGUUUUUGAAAUUACUUGAAUACGGUUGGGAAUCAGAGAAAACUGUCAACAAGAAAAAGUUUCGCAUUUUCCGUAGCUUUUCAACGGUAUAUUAUUUGCGCCAUUCCGAUAAAGUUUGUACAAAAUAGGGCGAAAAUACGAUUUUCGCCAUUUUCGAAACUGAGUUAAAACCGUAAUGAACUGGGAGAAAUAACACAUACCAAAAAGUUUCUCAUUUGUUCAAGCUUUGCAACGCCAUAUCAUUUGCUGCAUUCGGACGCACGGUUAAAAACUUAGCUCGAAAAUAUGAACUCGGUAGGACUUGUACCAUUUGCUAAAUUACUCCUAAAUCGUUCAAAAUUAGAAGAAACUUUCAACAUGAAAGAGUAGCGCAUUUUCAUAAGCUUUCUAACGCCGUAUCAUAUGCCUCAAUUGGAUUAGCCGUUUAGAAAUAGCGUUGAAAAUACGAACUCAGCUGUUCGGUUUGCAAAAUUUUACGUUAUUUCAAAUUACUCUUUAACAAUAGAGAAUUAGAGAAAACUUUCAAGAUGUGGAAGUAGCGGUUUUGCAACAGCUUUCCAACACCAUAUUAUAUGCCUCAUUCCGAUAAAAGGUUUAGAAAUGCGAUCGAAAAUACGGUUCAUGUUUUUUGUGUGAAGAAAAAACGGUUUUCAAAACUGCUCUUAAACCGCUUACAUUUUGCUAAAAAUUUAAGUUGGGUCAUGAUACUGGUGUCCAUAGCUUUCCAACGGUAUAUCGCAAGCCCCAUUUGGGUAAUGUUGGUGGAAGUUCAUCCUAGUUCAAAAAGUUCAACGUACUACUGGCGGGGCAGGUCAGGUUGUGAUCAGAAUAUUAUUCUCAUCCCGUGAUCAGAAUAGUGUUUAUAUAUAUAUAUAUAUAUAUAUAUAUAUAUAUAUAUAUAUAUAUAUAUAUAUAAAAGAAUCCCCUCCUAGGUCAAAUUAACCUCUCUCGUUGUGAGGCAAAAAGUAGUGAUGGACCAAGCGGGCCCACAGAUGGAAAGCAUCAAUAUCGCUGAUAACCCCUUAAGUGGGUGCGAGAGGACAACCACCAUCGCUUUGCAUGUGGGCCAAACAUAUGUUGAAUACCCAAAAUGCACAACUUUGAUGUGCUACAUACCUGAGAAACCAUAAACCAUGCACACACAGAAAGCGAGGUUCAUGAAGCAUACUACAUAUGAUGGUCCCCUUCCCCCUCUUCGACGCAUACUAUAUGCUCCUACCGUAAUACAACCCAAAAAGAAUCCUCAUCGAUGGCCAAAUUAAUUAACCUCUCCCGAUGUAGGUCAAAGUGAUGCAUGCAUCGACGAUGGCCUCGUGGGCCCAUAGAUGGAAGCGUCACACAUGAGUGUACUAGCUAGGAUAACCACCGCUUGCAUGCAUGUGGCCCAAAGAGGUGUUGUGUGAUGUUUGAAUAGCCAAUUUCACAAUUUUGAUGUGGCACAUGCCUUAGAAACUAAAAAGUCCUGACACUUAGUGAGGUGUACUUGUUCACGGGCGCGUACGUAUAGUAUAUAUGCUAGUCCCCUCCCACAUCUUCGACGCGUACUAUAUACCACCAUAACACAAACUAAAAAGAUUCUACCUUGCUGGUCAAAUUAACCUCACUGCCGGCUGUUUGUCAAAGUGAUGGACGACGACCUCGUGGGCCCACACAGAAAGCGUCACACACGAGUAUCACGUGUCGUGUAGGACAAACAUCGACUGCAUGUGGCCAAAACAUGUAUGUAUGAAAGGGUUGUGUAAUGUUUUAAAUAACGAAUUCACGUCUCUGAUGUGGCACCUGCCUACCUAACAAAACGGCCAACCCACACGGUGACUCACAACUCGUAGUGUAUUGCGAGCCACCCGCCACCCCCAGACACUCACACCCACACACACACUGCGAAUCCACCGCAACUACGAUGCAUGUUAAAUUAAUUAUCCCGCGGUGAACAUAUGUUACCAAAGGAGGGACGUUUUAAUUUUGAAAAAAACAGAGAUCAUUAAGACCUUUUAGUACAUUAAUUGAUUGAUUUUCUACGGGUAUAAUGUGCAAAAUUCAAAUUCGAGCUACAUGCACACAUGACAGUGCACCUAAAUGGAUUGCAAAAACACAUGUGUCUCACUAGGUGCAUGUUUACUCCCGGUGCAACAAAUUUCAAAUAUUGAGAAUCUUGAUUUUUAAAUUCUAGUACAUCCAAAAAUUAUUUGAAGUUAGUUUGGACACCAAUACAAAGUUGCAUUGUACUUUUUUUUGGUCAAAUUUGAGACCAGUUUUGAUGUAAUCUUUAUCUAAUUACAAACGGGUGAUUAUCAAUAAUUGGGAACCAAUAUCCCAAACAGAUUAUUUAUUCGAACCAUGGGCAUUAGACCAACAAUGGAUACGUGCCAUGCUUCGGUUAAGCAAUAAAGCAGCAACAUUAAUCAUCCAAAUAGAAAAACAAUAUAUGUGCCGCCACGUGACCCGUGUGCCGUGCGAGCAGGGGUGAGUUGACGGGACACAUGCGAGCAGUCCACUGCGCAGGCAGACCGGGAGGCAUGCGUGCAGGUGUGUGAAUUGACGGAGGCGUGCUGACUGCGCAGUGUCAUUGGGAGGCGCGCGAGUAGCUGUGUGAAACGAUGGCAGGCAUACCAGCAGUCCUGUGCACAGGCUCACCGAGAGACGAGCCACCGGUUUGACCGCCGCCCACCUCUCUCCCACUACUCCAUAUUAAUGGUGCACCCGAGCGGCUGCACCCCCAACCCUGCCACACACACAAUCCUCUCUCUCCUCUUGCAUCCUCGAUGCCACUCUCAGUCCUCAAAGCUGUCAGUGUAUGAGGAUGCCGCCGAAGCGCCCCAUCGGAGGGAGUGGUGUUGACGGGGAUGCUAAAGCAUCGGAGCACGGCAUGGAGAUGGAGACAGAGGUUGCUGUCACCGCCGGCGAGUUAUCACUGCACCCUGACGUCGUCGAGCUUCCACAACUGGAGGCGGAGUUCCACACCGACUCUGGUGACGACUCGGGCGUCGACUCCGACGACCACUCCGGUGACGAUUCCGACGACGACAGACAACUAGUUAGUCAUCUAUACCCAUUUAUGUGUCAAAUAGAUCCUAGGGUUUCUCUGGUUACUCCUGCCCCCCUUUUGGAAUAGAAAUUCUAUGGUUAUGUUCUCCCAAUCCAUGAAAUCUGAGUAAGUUUCGUUAGAUCCGUGUAGUGUAUUGAUUGUUUGAAUGGUACAAGUGAUAAGUGAUUAGCUAUUUCAUCUAUGGAAAUGAUUUCUUCUAGUAAUCUGACUAGGGUAAGUAUUCAUGCUAAUAAUUCCUAGCCAGGAUGUAACGCCCCGAGACCGAUGUGCCAGGUGUCGUGCAGUUAUUCGCUGUUGUUGUGUUGUCAUUGCUUGCGUGUCAUGCAUCUCAUAUCAUGUCAUCAUGUGCAUUGCAUUUGCAUACGUGUUCGUCUCAUGCAUCCGAGCAUUUUCCCCGUUGUCCGUUUUGCAUUCCGGCGCUUCGUUCUCCUCCGGUGAUCAUUUCUACCUUUCUUUCUUGUGUGGGGAUUAAACAUUUCCGGAUUGGACCGAGACUUGUCAAGCGGCCUUGGUUUACUAUCGGUAGACCGUCUGUCAAGUUUCGUACCAUUUGGACUUCGUUUGAUACUCCAACGGUUAACCGAGGGACCGAAAAGGCCUCGUGUGUGUUGCAGCCCAACACCCAUCCAUUUUGGCCCAAAACCCUCCUAACUCUGCUCCAUCAUCUCGGUUGUUCGAUCACGAUCGCGUGGCCGAAAACCGCACCUCAUUUGGAGCUUCCUAGCUCCCUCUACCUAUAAAAGAGCACCCCUCUCCGAAAUUUUGGAUCGUUUCGCAGUCUAAACCCUAGAUCCACUCCUCCCCGCGCCACCGGACGCGUCCGCGCUGCACCAGACAUGUCCGCCCCCGCGCGCCACCUCACUCCAGCCAAUCGGAGCGUGCCACCUCCGCCCCGCCGCCGCUCUCCUCCAACCCGUGGCCGCCACCUGUCCCAACCGGCUUCUGCGUCGCCCCACUUCGCCGCCGGCCCGCGGAGCCCAUCUGGGGCCCGCGCGAGCCCGGAUCUCCGCCGCCGCCCGCAGGCACCCCACGCCUCCUCGCUCCCGUAGCCGGUCGAGGGGAGGAGCCCCUCGAUCCGCGCCUCCGCCGCCUAGCGUCUCUCCGCCGGCGACCUCGCCUGCAACCUUCGCCGGAGCGCGCCGCCCUGCGACUUGGAGCCCCCACCGGCGCCGCUGUCGCCAGAUCCGGUCAUCACGCGCCGGGAUCCGCCCCUUCCUGCUCACGGCCGGCCUCCCCUCGCCGGAGCACAUCUCUGCCGGAACCGCGCCGCCGACCACGGCUUCACCGGAGUCAUCGCUCCCUGCGCCAGAUCGGGAGGAGCCCGAUCCAUCUGCGUUGACCGCGCCGCGCCUCCACGUGGGCCACGCCCGAUUCUGGCCCAGCUCCCCGGCCUCCUUCCUCUUCAUUUCGGGCGCGCUCCCGGGCCCAUCUCCAGCACCGGCCUCGCUCGGCCUCCUCCCCAGCUCCCUUCGCCAGCCGCGUGGGCCGCAGCGCCAGGCCCAGCCGGGCCACCUCCUCCGCACCGCGCCAGCCCAGCUGGCCUGCCUCUCCCUCCGACCGGGCCAGGCCCAUGGGUGAGCCGCCCCAGCGCCUGCCUUGUUCCAGUUUCAGCCUGAUAUGUAUUUUUCUUCGGGUCCUGCGAAUUUGUUCAUUAUCCAGUGCAUUGGCAGUUUUGCAGUAUAGUCCCCCUAGUUCAUGCAUUUAAUAACUCACUAACCGUGCAUCGGAUUAAAAUGUUUUAUAUAUGAAACUUGCUCAGAAUUUUGUGUAGAUUAAUAAUAUCCAACUUUCAUCUAUAUUUAAAAUGUUAAAAAUGCUGUUUGCAUUAAUUUGCUCCUAUGCCAUGUUAAAAUGAUUUAAUUCAUAGCUAAAUAACCGUAGCUCUGAUUUAAAUAAACUUUAUAUGUAAAUGGGGUAGAAAAAUGCCUAGUUCAACAUGGUGGCCUUACUUUGCAUGUUUAACAACUCUAAAAUUGUGUUUAGGGCAGAACAGUACCAUACCUAAAUGUGCAUAUGGGGAUUUACCGGAUUUGUUGUUUUUAUAUCCGGCCCCAUUUAAAUUGUUUAGAUGGUAUAGUUUAUGUUAUGCUUCACCUCUUGCCAUGUUUAACAACAGUUAAUAUUGUUGGGUAGCUUAAACGAGAGAUAACUAAAUAAUUGAUGUGGUGUUCCGUCAACAUGCACCUCGUUGCAUAUUGAGCUCCACUUAACUUGUAGUAUUGUUUGUUGCACUUUGCCAUGCCAUGCCUCAUUAAACCGGACAUGCAUCAUACUUGUUUGUGCAUCAUGACUUGUUUAUGCUUGUGUGUUUACUAUGUUGUUUGUUUCUUUCCGGGUUGCUUCUCACGUUAGCUUCGGUUUCGUUCCGGAGUUGUGAGGAUUCGUUCGUCUACGGCCGUUUGUCUUCUUCUUGGAUUCGUUCUUCUUCCUUGCGGGAUUUCAGGCAAGAUGAUCAUACCCUCGAAAUCACUACUAUCUUUGCUAUGCUAGUUUGCUCGCUCUUGCUAUGCCAAUGCUACGAUGCCUACCAUUUGCUUGUCAGCCUCCCAAAUUGCCAUGUCAAACCUCUAACCCACCAUGUCCUAGCAAACCGUUGAUUGGCUAUGUUACCGCUUUGCUCAGCCCCUCUUAUAGCGUUGUUAGUUGCAGGUGAAGAUUGAAGUUUGUUCCUUGUUGGAACAUGGAGAUGUUGUUCCUGGUUGGAACAUGUUUACUUGUUGGGAUAUCACAAUAUAUCUUACUUAAUUAAUGCAUCUAUAUACUUGGUAAAGGGUGGAAGGCUCGGCCUUAUGCCUGGUGUUUUGUUCCACUCUUGCCGCCCUAGUUUCCGUCAUAUCGGUGUUAUGUUCCCGGAUUUUGCGUUCCUUACACGGUUGGGCUAUAAUGGGAACCCCUUGACAGUUCGCCUUAAGUAAAGCUCCUCCAGCAAUGCCCAACAUUGGUUUUACCAUUUGCACUAACAACCUACCACCUUCCCUUGGGUUCUGCAGACUCAAGGGUCAUCUUUAUUCUACCCCCCCCGGCCAGUGCUCCUCUGAGUGUUGGUCCGAACUGAGCUGCCUACGGGGCCACCUCGGGGAAACUUGAGGGUUGGUUUUACUCGUAGCUAGUCUCAUCUGAGUGUGCCCUGAGAAAGAGAUAUGUGCAGCUCCUAUCGGGAUUUGUCGGCACAUUCGGGCGGUGUUGCUGGUUUAGUUUUACCCUGUCGAAAUGUCUUGUUGUACCGGGAUACCGAGUCUGAUCGGAGUGUCUCGGGUGGAGGUCUAUUCCUUCGUUGACCGUGAGAGCUUGUCAUGGGCUAAGUUGGGACACCCCUGCAGAGUAUUAUCUUUCGAAAGCCGUGCCCGCGGUUAUGUGGCAGAUGGGAAUUUGUUAACGUCCGGUUGUAGAAAACCCGAAGUUGACCUUAAUUAAAAUACAUCAACCAUGUGUGUAACCGUGAUGGUCUCUUUCCGGCGGAGUCUGGGAAGUGAACACGGUGUUGGAGUUAUGCUUGACGUAGGUUGCUAUAGGAUCACUUCUUGAUCAUACUUUUAUCGACCGUGCCUAGCCUCUCUUCUCGCUCUCUUUUGCGAUUGUAGCCACCAUAUAUGCUAGUCGCUUGCUGCAGCUCCACCUCAUUACUCCAUCCUUCCUAUAAGCUUAAAUAGUCUUGAUCUCGCGGGUGCGAGAUUGCUGAGUCCCCGUGGCUCACAGAUACUUCCAAAACCAGUUUGCAGGUGCCUAUGUUACCGAGCAGGUGACGCAACCAAGCUCAAGGAGGAGCUCGAUGAAGAUCUUGCCCUUUGUGUUGUUUCGUUCUAGUUGAUCAGUAGUGGAGCCCAGUUGGGGUCGAUCGGGGACCUUUGUCGCAUUUGGGGUUCUUCUUUUAUUUUGGUUCCGUAGUCGGACCUUGAUUGUAUCUGGAUGAUGUAAUGCUUUAUUCAUGUAAUGGUGUGAAGUGGCGAUUGUAAGCCAACUAUGUAUCUCUUUCCCUUAUGUAUUACAUGGGUUGUGUGAAGAUUACCUCACUCGCGACAUUGCUUUCAAUGCGGUUAUGCCUCUAAGUUGUGCUUCGACACGUGGGAGAUAUAGCCGCAUCGAGGGCGUUACAAGUUGGUAAUCAGAGCCUUCCCCGACCUUAGGAUCCCCACUGCUUGAUCGUUUUUAGCGGCCGAGUUGUGUCUAGAAAAAAUGUUUUGAGUCAUUUAGGAUUAUAUAUAUCGGAGAGUUAGGAAUUCUUUUUACUCCCCAGUCUCUUCAUCGCUCUGGUAAGGCAUCCUGACGUAGAGUUUUGACUCUUCUCUUCUCAAAUUUCACUAAUUUUUUUUUAGGAUCACGCGGGUAUCUUGGAAUCGUUCCGAUGGUUUUAUGAUGAGAACAUUGUCUUGGUGCCUCCUAUCAGGGGUUUAGUGGAAGUGUCCCGGGGAGUUGAGCUCUGAGGUGUUGUCGUCAUAAUUUUAUCGUUGCAGUUCUAGAAUACCUGAGUUUAGUACGCCGACAUCGAAAAUCUCUUUUAUGCAGUUCGUUGGUGAGAUAACCCCGAUAACCCAGUACUGAGGUGAGUACGGGAGUAUUGCCAUAACUUGUAUAACGGAUGCUUUUCGAAGGUUGAGGUAGAUGAUUUCUGAAGGUUUCUUGGUUAUGUGUUGAAGGAUGGAUACAGCUGGAUGUAGGAUUUGUUAGUUUUGGGUGAGAUAUUAUGCUUCCCCUGUAUCCCCAACACCUGAUUGCAUAACCUGAAAAUUUCGGGAGUUUCAUAGGUGGGUAUUCAAGUAGCUCUUAGGAUAUCUUUCCGACAGAUGUAUGAUUUGAAAUUGGGGUUCGACGUCUAGUGGUCCGCCUAUUCACGGUCGAUUUUACAGUGGUCUCGUUGUGUCUUAAAGAGUCCUUGGCUAUGCCGACUCGGGGACGCUUCGUAUGUCAUGUGCACUGCCUUGUACAUGAUGGUGCUGUACGAUCGAGCCCGUGUAGGCCCCACCACGAAAACUUUGGACGAAAUCUCUAUCAUAUGUUUGUUCUGGCUUAUUUUGCAAGCCAAUCCUUUGUUUUGUUUUGAGUUGUGGUAUUCGAGUUGCUUCGAAGUCAAAUGUUGAUUCCAUACCUUUCCUAAAUGGUGUUCUCAUAUUGCUAUGUGAAUACUAAUCCUUCUUGAUCAUCGAGAUUGUCUUGCCAGUCCUUUUCAACCAGUGUGUCUCUCUUCAAGUGGAUCCGUUCACGUCAACAUUUGCAAGAUCAUUUAUCACUUCUUCUCAACGGUGUUUGUUUCAUCCGUCUCCAAGUUGCCUUUGUUUUUCCCACCCCCUCCCUUUUGUUUUUCUUCAAGGACUAAGAUUUCUUCUUCAAGUAUCCAUUUUAUUGAUGGGAAGUUUCUCCAUUCUUUUCCGUCAAUGUUCUUAUCCGGUGAUUCUCAUGAAGAUUCUAAUGGAGCUUCAAGUUCGUCAUUCCUCGUUCUUUUCUUCUCCGGUGGAUUUAAUUCAAGCUUUGGUAUUAAGCAUACUCCUUUUCUUUUUUUUCCAAUGCUUUUCUUAUGCCGGUGCACCUCUUAAUCAUCCAUCUCUCGCUAUUAAAUUGUUCCGGAGUGCUCAAGAUAUCUCGAAGAUUCGUGUUUCCACUCUGCAUUCGUUCAAGCUCUUUCGAGAUUGGUAUCUCAUUCAAGUCAUUUAAUUCAACCGGUGCAACAUCUCUUUUAAAUCUUUUCAACGGUGUUCUUUUGAGUGGGCCCUAACCCACAGGUCUUUUCCCAGGAUCUUACCUGACUCUUCUAUUUUCCCAGAGCUAUCCUAGAUUCUUCUCCAAGUUUGACGUAAGAAUGAGUUAUCAUUAGUCAAAUGCUUUUCUCCAAGAUCUUUCAAAUUCUUUUCAUAGUUGGCUCAACCUCUUCGCUUUUGAUUCUUCCGGUGUGCCUCAAUAAUUCUUGGUGGUGUUUCUCGUUGUCAUUCUCAUCAUUUGAAGACCGAAGAAGAGUUUCUCUUUAAUCUUGCUCUAUUCUCUUCAAGAUUCAUGGUGCUAGCUUGUUGCCAUCCUCUCAUAAUUGUUUUCGAUUGUGAGAAUCUUUUUCACCCAUCAGGAGAUAUUCAAGAGUCUUCUCAGUUUGUCAUCCGGAGUCCAUCAAUUCAGGUUUAUUCAUUCUCAGCCGUCAGUUAUCAUUCUCCUAUCUUGCCGGUGCAUCUAUCGAAUAUCCUCUAAUCAGUUCUUGAUCUCUUUGUUCUCAUGUAUCUAGUUUGUCUCAAGCACCUUCGUUCAUUUGCUAAUUCUUACCGGUGAUNNNNNNNNNNUCAUUUUCAAUUCUUACGGUGGUUCUUUCAAGAUCUCUCUUCCUUGUUCAUCAUAUCAAUUCAUUUGUUGUUCCAAUCCUACCGGUGGUUCGUUGAAGACCUUCUCAAGUUUUGAUAUAUCUCUUUUAAUCCUUUCUACGAGAAUAAGUAGUAUGCCAAAUCCGUUGAUUGUCGUCAAUUUAAUUGGUGAAGGAUAAGCAUAACAUAAUUCUUAUUCUUGUUCAUCCAAGUGAUUAAUUCUUUAUUCCGGAGGCCCUUAAAAUUCUCGGUUUCAUUUGUUUCAUCUUCUCUUUUUCCCGGAGUUCCAAGCUCUAAUUAUCACGGAGAUCCAUCUAAAUCAUUGCAAGGAUUCACCUUGUGUUUUCAAUUUCUCUUUCUUUUCAUUCCUUUUGUUUACCGGAGUUCUUCAUGGAGGUUCUACAUGAUGGUUCAUCAAGGAUUUAAUUCCCUUCUAAAAGUUUUCAUCGAGAUUCUUUCCUAAGGAGCUCAAGCUUUCUUCAUAUGGUAAUCCGGAGUGCAAUUCUUUCUACCAUAUUUUGGAGGUGGUAUUAUGUCAUUCUUGAUAAUUUGAGUUCAUGUUCCAUGAUUCACAUGUUGUUAAGAAUGAGUUAUUUUUAAAUCCAUCAACCUCGUUGUUGGAGUUAUCUUGUGUCAUAUUUCACCUAAAAGCCUUCCAUUGGGAAUGUUGCUAUUUGUGGUGCUUGCCAAUGAUCCAAGUUAUCUCUUUAUCAUCUUGGUGGAAGAAGUUUUCAUCUCUUCAUUGAUCUCAAGCAAGCAAUUGUUUCCGUUAGUGGCCGGUUGUCACCUCAUAAUUUUGAGAUGUUUUCCAUAAGCCCACUACAAGAUUGUGCUUUUCGUUGUUGAUUUUCCAACAACUCCGUUCAAUUCUUAUUUGCAAGGAUGCUUUCCAAACUCAUUUGUGGCAGAAGUUGGCAUUUUCUUCUCCAUUCUAUUAUUCCAAUGAUAUAUCUUCUAUUAUUUCUUUCGGAGGCCUUGUGACGUUGCUCUUUUCACUCACCAUCUCGAUUCGUGAGGAUCGUGUUCUUUUCUUGCUUAUCCAUUUAACCGGAGUGUCGUGUUUUCAUUCGAGUUCUCUAAUCUUAUCAAGUUUUCCCUCCUUCCUCAACUGGAGAGCUGUCUGAAAUCCUUCUUACCCAUUGUGCCAUUCUUUCAAUAGUUCCGGAGGCAGUGUGUUGUUGAUUUCAUCAAGUAACAUCCCAUCUUCUCAAGUUCAUGUUCUAUUCCUUCCAUGUUCAACCGGAGUACUGCCCGAAUUCUUCCCCUCUCAUCUUGUUUUAACCGGAGUGGUUUCGAAUUCUAUCUUUUCCAUUAAACUCUUGAUUCAUGUCUUUGCAACCUUCAAGUUCUCGUAAUGUUCCUUGUUCCUUUUUUUUCUAACGGAUUGUUUGCAAUCUCGUUCUUCUCAGUUGUGCUCUUUCUUUUAAAUUGCUCAACCUCUCAAGGUUCUUUGGUUUCACUCAUUGGUCGAAGAAGCAACUUAGUUUUACCUCUUCUCUUCCUCUUCCGUUUCUCUCCGGUGCCAUCCUAGAUCUCGGGACGAGAUCCUCUUGUAGUGGUGGAGUGUUGUAACACCCCGAGACCGAUGUGCCAGGUGUCGUGCAGUUAUUCGCUGUUGUUGCAUUGUCAUUGCUUGCGUGUCAUGCAUCUCAUAUCAUGUCAUCAUGUGCAUUGCAUUUGCAUACGUGUUCGUCUCAUGCAUCCGAGCAUUUCCCCGUUGUCCGUUUUGCAUUCCGGCGCUUCGUUCUCCUCCGGUGAUCAUUUCUACCUUUCUUUCUUGUGUGGGGAUUAAACAUUUCCGGAUUGGACCAAGACUUGUCAAGCGGCCUUGGUUUACUACCGGUAGACCGUCUGUCAAGUUUCGUACCAUUUGGACUUCGUUUGAUACUCCAACGGUUAACCGAGGGACCGAAAAGGCCUCGUGUGUGUUGCAGCCCAACACCCAUCCAUUUUGGCCCAAAACCCUCCUAACUCUGCUCCAUCAUCUCGGUCGUUCGAUCACGAUCGCGUGGCUGAAAACCGCACCUCAUUUGGAGCUUCCUAGCUCCCUCUACCUAUAAAAGAGCACCCCUCUCCGAAAUUUUGGAUCAUUUCGCAGUCUAAACCCUAGAUCCACUCCUCCCCGCGCCACCGGACGCGUCCGCGCUGCACCAGACAUGUCCGCCCCCGCGCGCCACCUCACUCCAGCCAAUCGGAGCGCGCCACCUCCGCCCCGCCGCCGCUCUCCUCCAACCCGCGGCCGCCACCUGUCCCAACCGGCUUCCGCGUCGCCCCACUUCGCCGCCGGCCCGCGGAGCCCAUCCGGGGCCCGCGCGAGCCCGGAUCUCCGCCGCCGCCCGCAGGCACCCCGCACCUCCUCGCUCCCGUAGCCGGUCGAGGGGAGGAGCCCCUCGAUCCGCGCCUCCGCCGCCUAGCGUCUCUCCGCCGGCGACCUCGCCUGCAACCUUCGCCGGAGCGCGCCGCCCUGCGACUUGGAGCCCCCUCCGGCGCCGCUGUCGCUAGAUCCGGUCAUCACGCGCCGGGAUCCGCCCCUUCCUGCUCACGGCCGGCCUCCCCUCGCCGGAGCACAUCUUCGCCGGAACCGCGCCGCCGACCACGGCUUCACCGGAGUCAUCGCUCCCUGCGCCAGAUCGGGAGGAGCCCGAUCCAUCUGCGUUGACCGCGCCGCGCCUCCACGUGGGCCACGCUCGAGUCUGGCCCAGCUCGCCGGCCUCCUUCCUCUUCAUUUCGGGCCGCGCUCCCGGGCCCAUCUCCAGCGUCGGCCUCGCUCGGCCUCCUCCCCAGCUCCCUUCGCCAGCCGCGUGGGCCGCAGCGCCAGGCCCAGCCGGGCCACCUCCUCCGCACCGCGCCAGCCCAGCUGGCCUGCCUCUCCCUCCGACCGGGCCAGGCCCAUGGGUGAGCCGCCCCAGCGCCUGCCUUGUUCCAGUUUCAGCCUGAUAUGUAUUUUUCUUCGGGUCCUGCGAAUUUGUGCAUUAUCCAGUGCAUUGGCAGUUUUGCAGUAUAGUCCCCCUAGUUCAUGCAUUUAAUAACUCACUAACCGCGCAUCGGAUUAAAAUGUUUUAUAUAUGAAACUUGCUCAGAAUUUUGUGUAGAUUAAUAAUAUCCAACUUUCAUCUAUAUUUAAAAUGUUAAAAAUGCUGUUUGCAUUAAUUUGCUCCUAUGCCAUGUUAAAAUGAUUUAAUUCAUAGCUAAAUAACCGUAGCUCCGAUUUAAAUAAACUUUAUAUGUAAAUGGGGUAGAAAAAUUCCUAGUUCAACAUGGUGGCCUUACUUUGCAUGUUUAACAACUCUAAAAUUGUGUUUAGGGCAGAACAGUACCAUACCUAAAUGUGCAUAUGGGGAUUUACCGGAUUUGUUGUUUUUAUAUCCGGCCCCAUUUAAAUUGUUUAGAUGGUAUAGUUUAUGUUAUGCUUCACCUCUUGCCAUGUUUAACAACAGUUAAUAUUGUUGGGUAGCUUAAACGAGAGAUAACUAAAUAAUUGAUGUGGUGUUCCAUCAACAUGCACCUCGUUGCAUAUUGAGCUCCACUUAACUUGUAGUAUUGUUUGUUGCACUUUGCCAUGCCAUGCCUCAUUAAACCGGACAUGCAUCAUACUUGUUUGUGCAUCAUGACUUGUUUAUGCUUGUGUGUUUACUAUGUUGUUUGUUUCUUUCCGGGUUGCUUCUCACGUUAGCUUCGGUUUCGUUCCGGAGUUGUGAGGAUUCGUUCGUCUACGGCCGUUUGUCUUCUUCUUGGAUUCGUUCUUCUUCCUUGCGGGAUUUCAGGCAAGAUGAUCAUACCCUCGAAAUCACUACUAUCUUUGCUAUGCUAGUUUGCUCGCUCUUUUGCUAUGCCAAUGCUAUGAUGCCUACCAUUUGCUUGUCAGCCUCCCAAAUUGCCAUGUCAAACCUCUAACCCACCAUGUCCUAGCAAACCGUUGAUUGGCUAUGUUACCGCUUUGCUCAGCCCCUCUUAUAGCGUUGUUAGUUGCAGGUGAAGAUUGAAGUUUGUUCCUUGUUGGAACAUGGAGAUGUUGUUCCUGGUUGGAACAUGUUUACUUGUUGGGAUAUCACAAUAUAUCUUACUUAAUUAAUGCAUCUAUAUACUUGGUAAAGGGUGGAAGGCUCGGCCUUAUGCCUGGUGUUUUGUUCCACUCUUGCCGCCCUAGUUUCCGUCAUAUCGGUGUUAUGUUCCCGGAUUUUGCGUUCCUUACACGGUUGGGCUAUAAUGGGAACCCCUUGACAGUUCACCUUAAGUAAAGCUCCUCCAGCAAUGCCCAACAUUGGUUUUACCAUUUGCACUAACAACCUACCACCUUCCCUUGGGUUCUGCAGACUCAAGGGUCAUCUUUAUUCUACCCCCCCCGGGCCAGUGCUCCUCUGAGUGUUGGUCCGAACUGAGCUGCCUACGGGGCCACCUCGGGGAAACUUGAGGGUUGGUUUUACUCGUAGCUAGUCUCAUCUGAGUGUGCCCUGAGAAAGAGAUAUGUGCAGCUCCUAUCGGGAUUUGUCGGCACAUUCGGGCGGUGUUGCUAGUUUAGUUUUACCCUGUCGAAAUGUCUUGUUGUACCGGGAUACCGAGUCUGAUCGGAGUGUCUCGGGUGGAGGUCUAUUCCUUCGUUGACCGUGAGAGCUUGUCAUGGGCUAAGUUGGGACACCCCUGCAGGGUAUUAUCUUUCUAAAGCCGUGCCCGCGGUUAUGUGGCAGAUGGGAAUUUGUUAACGUCCGGUUGUAGAAAACCCGAAGUUGACCUUAAUUAAAAUACAUCAACCGUGUGUGUAACCGUGAUGGUCUCUUUCCGGCGGAGUCCGGGAAGUGAACACGGUGUUGGAGUUAUGCUUGACGUAGGUUGCUAUAGGAUCACUUCUUGAUCAUACUUUUAUCGACCAUGCCUAGCCUCUCUUCUCGCUCUCUUUUGCGAUUGUAGCCACCAUAUAUGCUAGUCGCUUGCUGCAGCUCCACCUCAUUACUCCAUCCUUCCUAUAAGCUUAAAUAGUCUUGAUCUCGCGGGUGCGAGAUUGCUGAGUCCCCGUGGCUCACAGAUACUUCCAAAACCAGUUUGCAGGUGCCUAUGUUACCGAGCAGGUGACGCAACCAAGCUCAAGGAGGAGCUCGAUGAAGAUCUUGCCCUUUGUGUUGUUUCGUUCUAGUUGAUCAGUAGUGGAGCCCAGUUGGGGUCGAUCGGGGACCUUUGUCGCAUUUGGGGUUCUUCUUUUAUUUUGGUUCCGUAGUCGGACCUUGAUUGUAUCUGGAUGAUGUAAUGCUUUAUUCAUGUAAUGGUGUGAAGUGGCGAUUGUAAGCCAACUAUGUAUCUCUUUCCCUUAUGUAUUACAUGGGUUGUGUGAAGAUUACCUCACUCGCGACAUUGCUUUCAAUGCGGUUAUGCCUCUAAGUCGUGCUUCGACACGUGGGAGAUAUAGCCGCAUCGAGGGCGUUACACAGGACAUGGCAAUUGAUUUUGAAUGACCUACAUAUGUUUGUGCCACUAUUUUCUUCAAGAUUGGUUUGUACAUAGACAAAUGUGCUUAAAAAUUGAACCAUAAUAUCUGAAUAUGUAUAAAUAAAUAGCCAUAAAUUCCUAAUCCUACUUCACGGCAUGUAAUCGUUGAUUUGAUGCCAAAUUAUGGCAACUGCCAAUUGUUCGCUAGAGAUUAGUUUGUAACCAUUAAUUUGACGUCACAUUUUUUUACUAUUUGUAUAGGUGUUGUUUGACGAUGUGGACAGCGAGGAUGAAGAUGUCCGAAGGAGGCACAAGAGGCAAAUCCUGAGGGAGCUUUAUGCGGGAAUGGAUAACAGGCGUAUUAGGACCUAGAAUGGCGGCUAUCGAUGCCCAUUCUGCAACCACAAGCUUCAUGACGCAUAUCAAAGUGUUCUCGUGCAGGUAAGAGGACGGGCCAUUGGCUCCUUCAAGCAGAAGUAUUCUCACAGGGUGGCGCACGGUGCAUAUGCCGAGUACCUGGAGAGGCUUCAGGAUCGUGAUGACAUGUGAGAUGAGAUGUGGGAUUGAACUAUGUACACUUGAGCAUGCUUAAUGACGGUUGAACUAUGCUUGUGUACGUGUACGCUUAUUAUCUAUGUCUGAGUAUGUUUAAUCUAUGUUUACUUAUGUCUAACUAUGGGAUAUGGAUGCAGUCAGUUUGGUUGAUGGAAUCUACAUCCAUCCUCAUUUAUUGGUCCGCUUUGUAAUUUUGUGUUAAAUGUUGACCAAAGAUUUAACUGACAAAAUGUUAGUGCAGGUCAGCAAAAAUUAUAUCGUUGGAUGCGUAUUUGAACAUAGUGUUCAAUGAUAUAAUUUUUGGUGACAUGCAUAAACAUUUCUUAGUUAAAUAUUUGGUUGAAAUUUGGUACAAAAUUGGAACGUGUGCAAUGACUUUCAUUUUGCCUGUUGCUUCAAUCACACACGGUUCCCAAAAUUGCAACCGUGUGCAAUGACUUUCGUUUUGCCUGUUGCGUCAAUCACAGACGGUUGGCUCUAGCAAACCGUUGCCUCCGAAAUUCUUUGUGGGGUAGAAAACCCUCACCACCCAAUUCAAAAAAGAACAAAGAAAACCCUCGUCAUCCCCAUGUCACAAAAACCCUCACCCCCACCUGCCACCCCCUCCGGUCCCAAUUCACACCUAUACAAGUUCCUCCGGGUCUAUGCAUGGCACCGCCUAUCACGGCGGUAACCACUUAGCUCGCCGCCUGCCGCCGCCGCCAGGCUGCCGGCAACCCCCACCACAUUUCGCCACUUCCGCUUGCCGCCACCUACCGCCAUCGACUUUCUCGAUGCUGCUCACGGUCGACCCAGCUCCGCUCGGUUGGGGAAUCUGCCGUACUAAGGGUUCUUUCUCAUGGACGGCAAGGUAACUAACUUAAUGAGAUAUUAUCUCAUCUCUUAUCCCAGUUCAUCUGCCUCCUCUAAUCACCCAGCGAAAAUCGCCGUGAAUUCAUUUUUAUUCGAGCUGAUUUGAGGGUUUUCUUUCAUUCAUAGAGUGUACAGUUCGCCGACACAUCAGGACUUUGCGGCCUCCGCCAGAGAUUCCAUCUCACUGUACCAGAUGACUUGAGGAUGCGCGUGGUAUGUUCAGUCUCACCCUAAAUCGGUUGGCAUGGCCUACUUUCCUGAGCAUAUUCUAAAUAUUGUUACAUUUGGACAAAAGGUGCCACAUGCACCAUAUACGUCAAAUGGGAUUUUCCCCUCUUCUUUCUAUAUUAGGCAAAUUAAUGAUGUAUUGUUCUUUUGAUUACUCUCAUAUUCCCAUGACAUCAUGUUUGCCCUAUCUAUUUAAUUAUAGAUUUUUGUCCUUCGAUUUCAAUUGAUGUAUAGUUCUUUCAAUUUGGGCCCAUAUUUGCUUGUUACCAUAUUUUCUUUAACAAUCCUACCAUUUUCUGUAGCGCGUCCCUUGCUAUGCAACAGAAUAUGUAGUGCACAAUCUUCCCCUUUACAUCAAGACUGCAGGGAUGUCAUACUGCACACAAACAUGGAUUUACAAUCGUUGUUACUGUAAGACUUAAAGAACGUGGUGACUCCUGUUUUGGCACUAGCUUUUGGAUAGAAAAUUCUAAGUUUUAUGUACUAAAAGCUAUCACUAAAAUUGACUGCACAUAAAAGGGCAUGGUCAUGAGAUAUAUGCUAACUUCCCCGACAAAAUCAUCCGUCCAGACUUUGUUCAAAGUAAGUUUUCUUUUCAGCUAUCUGCAUGUUGACUUACCCAGCAAUGUCAAAUGAAUUGUGUAAUAGUUAAGCAACCAAUUGUUAUUCCCUUUCCUUACUAUAUUCCUACCUAAUAACUUUUAGUUACCAAUACACUUUUCUAUUGCCCUGUUUUAACUAAAUAUUCCUUGUACUCCCAUUUCUAUCAGAAAGCGCCGCUGACAAGGAGACUCCGGAGGUGGAGAACUGGGCUGCCAACAAGCGGAGGCAGGGUGAGCUAGUACCGCAAGCGACUCCAGCAGGCCUUGACUUCAUCAGCAGCCUCCCCGAUGGUAUGUUGACAGUCGUCAUCUCCCUCCUCCCAAUCAAAUAUGGGGCGCAAACAACUGUCCUUUCCCGGUGGUGGUGCCCCCGGUGGAACUCCACCACUCUCGACCUCAUCGACACCCACGAGCUCUGCCAUGGCUAUCGCAAAAGCUUGGAUGCGUUCUCCAAGAUCCUCGGCAGCCACCAUGGCCCAACCAGAGGCCUUAGAAUGGGCAAGUUCCGUUCCAACAACAAGGACCGAGCCAAGCUUGACGACUGGUUUUGAUCCCCCGCCCUAGAUCAUCUCGAGGAGCUCACUUUUGAUGAUGGGCAUAUGCACUUGCUGCCAACGUCCGCGCUCCGCCUCGCGCCCACGCUGCACGUCGCCAAGUUCAGGAACUGCCAUCCCCCCUUAAUGAUGCGCCCGCUCUUAUUCUACCACGACUGAAGCACCUCGAGCUCGUCACCGUCUACCUCUCAAACGGUGACAUGGAGCACCUGCUCCGUGGCUGUACUGCACUCGAGUACCUUCAUCUUCGAGCAGUCAAUGGGUUGAGUACAUUCCACAUUACCUCCAUGACUCCCUGGACUAUUUAUGUGUGUUGCUGGUUCGGCAGGAAGACAUCACAAGAUGUGCACUACGGUAUGCUCACUGAGGAUACACCUGCACUUGAGAGAUUAUUUAUACUUGAUCAAGUAGGUCCAACAAGAAUCAAUGUCAUUUCUGCGCCAAAAUUGACAGUGGUGGGCUACUCAUCUGACAAAUACUCCGAACUUGUUAUUGGAUCCACACCCGUUUAGGUACAACAACCGCCUUCUACCUCUCCUUCUACAAAUUAACAUUAUUUCUAAUUUUGAAGAUGUUUGUUCGUUUGUCAUUCAGAAAAUGAUUCCGACAAGCUUGACCCCGAAACUGCGCACAGUGAAGGUCUUGGCACUAGAAUCUAUCGGGCCCAACCUAGAGCAAGUUGUCAGUUUCUUGAGGUGCUUUGUGUGCCUGGAGAAGCUAUAUAUCGAGGUGAUGUUCCUUUCCUGUUAAAUGUUAACCAUAAGGGAGUUCAAUUUGUGACACCUUUUUCCAAGUUUACAAUGACAAUGUACUACAAUUUCUGAAGGAUUCUUUUGGAGGAUUUCAGUACAUACAUGCCCCCCAUAUUGGUUGCUUGAUCCAUAUGGUUACAAUCCAUAUGCAUUUCUCCUUUGGAUUCAUCUGUACUAGUUUUCUUAGGGAACUUUUCAUCCACUCCAACCUCUUAUGAAGAUCGAAGAUGGCAUGUUAAUGCUUGUGUUAAUCAUGUCAGAUCGAAGAUGGCAUGUUAGUGCAUUUUACAAAUCCUGCAAACCAAAUAGUCCUGUAGUAGUGUUCAAAACUGCAUGUAGGCACUAACAUGUUUUCUUCUUUUGCAGAUAAGAUUAGGCCCAAUGGUGGAUAAUGUAAUACAAUAUAACAAUCACGUCGAAUGCCUAGAUCUGCAUCUCUCAGAAAUUACUUUGAAGUCCUUUCGAGGGACCUUAUCAUAGAUUAUAUUCGCCAGGUUCUUUGUUGUCAGAGCAAGGGUGCUGAAGAUAAUGAGGUUUGCCCUACAGUUAUUUCGCAAAAAUGAAUCGUUUGUUGAUCAGCGCCGGCGUCUGCGGCAGAAUGGAAUUGGAUCCAAAAUGGCUGAAUUUCAUUUUGGAACUUCAGAUGACAGAGUAAUCGGAAGUCAUCGUGUCAACCCCAUACAUGACUUCUCAGUGACUGACCCCUUUGCAAGAAUUGUGAGGUUUCAAAACCAGACUUUGAAGUGGUAAUAUUAGUUUGAACCUCUCUGAUAUCCAUGUUCAACGGAUCAGCGCGAGCAUUUGCAGCUGAUGAGCUGAAUUUCACUGCUAAUAUUCGUUUGAACCUUGUAAUCUUUGAAUUUGAGCCAUAUAACUCUAGAAUUUGAACCUUGUAAUAUUUCGAGCUUUUGUGGUAAAAUCGUUGAAAUGGCAUCAUAUGAGACUCAUAUGUUGGUAGCACUUUUUUGACCUUAAUAUGCAAUUGUCUUAGAUUUUAUUAACCAUUCUCGAAUCUGUUUACCUUGUCGAUCUCAUAGCACACAAUCUAUAUAGCUAACUCGACUGCGAUCUUCGACAUUAUUGCACACAUUUGGUUUCUUCCAUCAUGUGCCCUGUAGAGUGCAGAAUUAAUUAUCCCACUCGAGUGUCCAUCAUCACCCUUCUGUGUAACUUUGACCUCAUCACCCACAGGUAAACUUAUGACCGGAGUCAUUCCACACACUUCGGUUUUACAAAGCUUUUUGCCAAUAAACGCCCAUGAUUUGUCCCUCUUCUAGCCGAUCGUGGCCAAACUAGCCAAGCGGGAAGCUUGUGCGGUAAACUGCACGGUAGCGCGGGAAUAGGCUCAUCGACGAUACAUUUGGCUCCUCUUCGAGCCCACACGUGGUCAAAUGAAACGCGUGCGGUGCGGUGUUGUCAAGCGUGCGUUGGAAUCCUCCGCUAUGAACGCUGUCACAAGACGUGACGAUUACAGGUCGGCUAGCCCCCAUUUGUUACAGCGGCCAUUUAACCCUUGUGUCUCUUCAACCUUUCAAUCGCGCCCCACCAUUGCAAGAAGCACACCCACCACGGCAAAUUCUUAGAGGGUAUCCUGCGCAGCUCCAAUGGCGCUCCGAGCGGCUGCCGACGGCGAGCAGCAGUUCACCAUGCAUCCCGUGGUGGACACCCAUCAAAGGUUCACGGAGCUCUCAAUGGUGUACACCAACAACCCGGUCUGGGUGGAGCACUCCAUCCACAUCAUGGAGUUGUUGCUUGCCAAUGAGGAGUACAAGGUGGUCGGGUUCGACCUCGAGUAUACCCGCGCUUUUGCCGGGUCUAGUCCCGAGGUCGUUGCCCAGAUGUGCAUGCGCAUCCAUGUCCUUGUCUACCACUACUGCCUGACCACAAGGCCUUGCGAGCGUUUCGCCAGGUUUGUCAACAACCCCCACUACAUGUUCGCUACGGUGGACAUCACCAACGAUGUCAAGGUGCUCAAGAAUUCGAGCAUCGCCUGCCAGAAUCUUGUCGACAUCCAGGACCAAUACAAGAUUUGGGGAAGCAAGGAGCAUGAGAAUGACUCAUUGGUUCACCUCGCCGAGGCCAUCAUCGACCCCUACUAUAGAGACAUGAAGGAUUCCUACAACAAGGACAAGCAUGCCUGGCACUCGGCCUAGAUGGAGAAACUCGACAAAGCUCAUGUCGUGUACGUGGCCAAGGAGGCGUAAACGAGCUACGACAUGUACAGGAGGAUCAUUGACAUGAGGAAGUGCCUCCUUCCCCAAAACGGCCAGGGAUCCAGCUGGAAGCAGAGCAAUGGCAAGCGUCGUCGCAAUAAGAAGUAGAUGAUUAGAUCCUCGUUUCUCCUAGUUUAGUAUGCAUGUAAUUGCUUACUUUGGUGUGUGAAAAUGUUAUGUGUGUAGUCACUUGUGUAAUUGUAUGCUUAAUUUGGUUAUGCAACGCUGUCUUUUUAAGUAUAUAUGUUGAUGCUCUGUAGACAAAGCAAAUCACAUCACACACGGACUAAACAAUAGAACCCGUCGGUGAUGAUCUCAUCAAUCACUGACAAUUGUAUACCAGCAAUCAUUUGCUUACAACACACACGGCUUGUUAACAGGAAUCGUCUGUGUUGUUAUCAGUAUUCCCACACAUUUAUGAUUACAGACCUGUUUGCCGCGUAUCACACACCUUGUUAAGUUGAACCAUUGCUGUUCUCUUGGCUCAAUGCAAAUAGUUCAUCUGAGUGAACUAUAUGCCGUAUAUCGCACACAUCUUCAUCUGGUUGCCCAUUUCUGUUCUUCCGCCUCAUCAUAAAUAGUUCAUCCGAGUGAAUCGUAUGUUCUACAUCUCACACGCCUUCAUCUGACAGCCCGUUUCUUUUGUUCCUCCUUAUCGCAAACAGUUAAUUGAACUGAACCGUAUGCCCUGCAUUGCACACGCAACCAAAAUAUGAACCGUGUUUGAUGCAUCCGUCAUCGCAAACGUUUGCACCUUUUUUGACGGGUUUUUUACACCACCAUUUGCGAUUAUUGCAUCGCACACAAUUUCAUCGAAGGGUCUCUAAUCGUAGUGUCGCGUUAGCAGCAUCCUGCAGUAGUCUGUGAAUACAUAGACAAACACUGUGUCCCUAGUGAGCCUCUACUUGACUAGCUUGUCGAUCAAAGAUGGUUAAGUUUUCCUAACCAUGGACAUGAGUUGUCAUUUGAUAACGGGAUCACAUCAUUAUGAGAAUGAUGUGAUGGACAAGACCCAUCCAUUAGCUUAGCAUAUUGAUCGUUCAGUUUUAUUGCUAUUGCUUUGUUCAUGUCAAAUACAUAUUCCUUCGACUAUGAAAUUAUGCAACUCCCGGAUACCGAAGGAAUACCUUGUGUGCUAUCAAACAUCACAACGUAACUGGGUGAUUAUAAAGAUGCUCCACAGGUAUCUCCGAAGGUGUUUGUUGGGUUGGCAUAUAUCGAGAUUAGGAUUUGUCACUCCGAGUAUCGGAGAGGUAUCUCUGGGCCCUCUCGGUAAUGCACAUUAUAAGAAGCCUUGCAAGAAAAGUGACUAAUGAGUUAGUUACAAGACGAUGUAUUACAGAACGAGUAAAGAGACUUGCCGGUAACGAGAUUGAACUAGGUAUGUGGAUACCUACGGUUGAAUCUCGGGCAAGUAACAUACCAAUGACAAAGGGAAUAACAUAUGUUGUCAUAACGGUUCGAUCGAUAAAUAUCUUCAUAGAAUAUGUAGGAGCCAAUAUGAGCAUCCAUGUUCCGCUAUUGGUUGUUGACUGGAGAUGUGUCUCGGUCAUGUCUACAUAGUUCUUGAACCCGUAGGGUCCGCACACUUAACGUUCGAUGAUGAUUUAGUAUUAUAUGAGUUAUGUGAUUUGGUGACCGAAUGUUGUUCGGAGUCCCGGAUGAGAUGACAGGCAUGACGAGGAGUCUCAAAAUGGUUGAGAGGUAAAGAUUGAUAUAUAGGAUGAUAGUAUUUUGACACCAGAAGUGUUCCAGAGUAUAUUGGGUAUUNNNNNNNNNNNNNNNNNNNNNNNNNNNNNNNNNNNNNNNNNNNNNNNNNNNNNNNNNNNNNNNNNNNNNNNNNNNNNNNNNNNNNNNNNNNNNNNNNNNNNNNNNNNNNNNNNNNNNNNNNNNNNNNNNNNNNNNNNNNNNNNNNNNNNNNNNNNNNNNNNNNNNNNNNNNNNNNNNNNNNNNNNNNNNNNNNNNNNNNNNNNNNNNNNNNNNNNNNNNNNNNNNNNNNNNNNNNNNNNNNNNNNNNNNNNNNNNNNNNNNNNCGGAAUCCCCCGGGGGAAUAAUGGGCCAUAUGGGCCAUGAGAGGGGAGCACACCAGCCCAUAAGGGGUGGCGCCCCCUGUGGCAGGAGGCCGAUUGGGAGAAGGAAGAGGGAGUUCGGCCCCCCUUUCCUUCCUCCCUUCCCUCUUCCCUUUUCCACUCCGGUAAAAUAAGGAAGGGGGCGCCACUUGGGAAACCCCAAGUAGGAUUUAGAUCCUACUUGGGGCGCCCCAUGUCUGCCUCUCCUCCCCUCCCACCUAUAUAUAUAUGGGGAGGGGGCGCCUAGAAGACACAACAUCAAUUGUUAGCCGUGCGUGACACCCCCUCCACAGUUUACACCCCCUGUCAUAGUUUUGCGGUGCUUAGGCGAAGCCCUGCGACAAUCACUUCACCAUCACCGUCACCACGCUGUCGUGCCGACAAAACUCAUCUACUACCUCGACACCUUGCUGGAUCAAGAAGGCGAGGGACGUCACCGAGCUGAACGUGUGCAGAACUCGGUGGUGCCGUACGUUCGGUGCUUGAUCGGUCGGAGCUAGAAGAAGUUCGACUACAUCAACCGCGUUGUCAAACGCUUCCGCUUUCGGUCUACGAGGGUAUGUAGACACACUCUUUCCCCCUCGUUGUUAUGCAUCUCCUAGAUAGAUCUUGCGUGAACGUUGGAAUUUUUUGAAAUUGCAUGCUACGUUUCCCAACAGUUCCAUGCUAUUAUAUUAUCUAUUUUGGAUGUUUUAUAUGCAUUAUUAUGCUAUUUUAUAUUAUUUUGGGGACUAACUUAUUAACCUAGAGCCCAGUGCCAGUUUCUGUUUUUCCUUGUUUUUGAUUUUCGUAGAAAAGGAAUAUCAAAUGGAGUCCAAACAGAAUAAAACUUUCGCGAUGAUUUUUCUUGGAUAUGAAGACACCCGAGGGACUUGGAGUCCAAGAGAGAAGAGCCACGAGGCGUCGGCAAGGGUGGAGGGCGCGCCCUAGGGGGGCUGCCUUGUGGCCCCCUUGGGACUCUCCUGACCUACCUCUUCGUCCUAUAUAUUCACAUAUAUGCCAAAACCCUCAGAGGGAGCCACGAAAAUACUUUUCCACCGCCGCAACCUUCUGUUCCCAUGAUAUCCCAUCUUGGGGCCUUUUCCGGCAUCCUGCCGGAGGGGGAUUCGAUCACGGAGGGCAUCUACAUCAACCCUAUUGCCCUUCCAAUGAAUCUUGAGUAGUUUACCACAGACCUACGGGUCCAUAGCUAGUAGCUAGAUGGCUUGUUCUCUCUCUUUGAUUCUCAAUACCAUGUUCUCCUCGAUGUUCUUGGAGAUCUAUUCGAUGUAAAUUUCUUUUGCGGUGUGUUUGUCGAGAUCCGAUGAAUUGUGGAUAUAUGAUCAGCUUAUCUAUGAAUAUCAUUUGAAUCUUCUCUGAAUUCUUAUAUCCAUAAUUUGAUAUCUUUGUAUUUCUCUUCGAAUUAUCGGUUUGGUUUGGCUAACUAGAUUCAUUUUUCUUGCAAUGGGAGAGGUGCUUAGCUUUGGGUUCAAUCUUUCAUGAUUUCACCCAGUGACAAAGUAGGGGUAGCGAGACACGUAUUGAAUUGUUGCCAUCGAGGACAAAAAGAUGGGAUUUUCAUCAUAUUGCUUGAGUUUAUUCCUCGACAUCAUGUCAUCUUACUUAAGGCGUUAAUCCAUUUUUUAUGGACUUAAUACUCUAGAUGCAUGCUGGAUAGCGAUUGAUGUGUGGAGUAAUAGUAGUAGAUGCAGGCAGGAGUCAAUCUACUUGACACGGAUCUAUAUGCAUAAUCAUUGCCUUGGACAUCGUCAUAACUUUGUGCUUUUCUAUCAAUUGCUCGACAGUAAUUUGUUCACCCACCGUAUUGUUUGCCUUCAAGAGAGAAGCCACUAGUGAAACAUAUGGCCCCCGGGUCUAUUUUCCAUCACAUUUGUUUCUGAUAUACUAUUUUGCAAUCUUUUAUGUUCAGAUCUAUAAACCAAAAAACCCAAAAAUAUUUAGUUAUCUUUUAUUUAGUUUUAUCUAUCUCUAUCAGAUCUCACCUUUGCAAGUGGCCGUGAAGGGAUUGACAACCCCUUUAUUGCGUUGGGUGCAAGUGUUUGAUUGUUUGUGUAGGUGCAUCUAUUGGGGACUUGCGCAUUUCUCCUAUUGGAUUGAUACCUUGGUUCUUAAUUGAGGGAAAUACUUAUCUCUACUAUGCUGCAUCACCCUUUCCUCUUCAAGGGAAAAACCAACACAAGCUCAAGAAGUAGCAGGAAGAAUUUCUGGCAACGUUGUCGGGGAGAUCUACGUCAAACCUAACAAGUACCCAUCAUAAACUCUCAUCUCUUGCAUUACAUUAUCUGCCAUUUUCCUCUCGUUUUCCUCUCCCCCACUUCUAAAACGUUUUUAGAGAAACACAAAAGAUUUGCCUUUUUAUUCACCCUUUUUAUAUUUCUCUUUUCGUCCGCUUUUUGUUUGCUCGUGUGUUAGAUUGCUUGCUUUGUCACGAUGUCUCAAGAAAAUACCAAGUUGUGUGACUUUUCCAAUACAAAUAAUAAUGAUUUUAUUAGUACUCCAAUUGCUCCCGCCAUUAGUGCGGAAUCUUAUGAAAUUAAUGCCGCUUUGCUGAAUGUUGUUAUGAAAGAUCAAUUUUCUGGCCUUCCUAGUGAAGAUGCUGCAUCCCAUCUAAAUAAUUUAGUUGAGUUGUGUGAUAUGCAAAAUAAGAAAGAUGUGGAUAAUGAUAUUGUUAAAUUGAAGCUAUUUCCGUUCUCACUAUGAGAUCGUGCUAAAACUUGGUUUUCAUCUUUGCCUAAAAAUAGUAUUGAUUCAUGGAAUAAGUGUAAAGUUGUUUUUAUUUCCAAGUAUUUUCCUCCUGCUAAGAUCAUCUCCCUUAGGAACGAUAUUAUGAAUUUUAAGCAACUUGAUCACGAACAUGUUGCACAAUCUUGGGAGAGGGUGAAAUUGAUGAUAUGAAAUUACCAUACUCAUGGUUUAAAUUUGUGGAUGAUCAUACAAAAAAAUUAUGUCGGAUUGAAUUUUUCUGCUAGAAAUCUUUUAAAUUCGGCCACGGGAGGUACUUAUAUGGAAAUUACUUUAGGAGAAGCUACUAAACUCCUAGAUAAUAUUAUGGUUAAUUAUUCUCAAUGGCAUACCGAAAGAUCUUCUACUAAUAAAAAAGUGCAUGCGAUUGAAGAGAUUAAUGUUUUGAGUGGAAAGAUGGAUGAAGUUAUGAAAUUGUUUUCUAGUAAGAGUGCUCCUAUUGAUCCUAAUGAUAUGCCUCUGUCUACCUUGAUUGAGAAUAAUAAUGAAUCUAUGGAUGUGAAUUUUGUUGGUAGGAACAAUUUUGGUAAUAACGCGUAUAGAGGUAAAUUUAAUCCUAGGCCAUUUCCUAGUAAUUCCUCUAAUAAUUAUAGUAAAUCCUACAACAAUUCUUAUGGAAAUUAUAAUAAGAUGCCCUCUAAUCUUGAGAAGAAUAUUAAAGAAUCUAUUAGUUUGCAAAACAAUUUCAAUGCUUUGGUUGAAGAAAAAUUGCUUAAGAUUGAUGAUUUGGUAGAUUGCAACAAGGAAAUGCAACGUGGAUAGAACUUCUCUUGAGAUUGAUUAUUUGAAAAUGAGAUAUAUUCCACCCAAGCAUGAUAUUAAUGAAUCUUUGAAAGCUAUGAGAGUUUCCGUUGAUGAGUGUAAAGAAAGAACCGCUAAGAUGCGUGCUAAGCGAGAUUGGUUUGUAAAAGCGUGUUCUUCUAGUUUUUGUGAAAAUAAUGAUGAAGAUCUUAAAGUGAUUGAUGUGACUCCUAUUAAAUAUUUGUUUUAUAAUAUUACUCUUGAUAAAUAUGGGACUGGAGAUGAGUCAACUUUAGUUAAAAGGCGUCCCUAUAAUUCAGAGUUUAUAGAUCUUGAUGCAAAAAUUGACAAAAGUGGGAUUGGAGAGGUCAAAACUUUAAGUAGCAAUGAACCCAAUCUUUUAGAUUUCAAGGAAUUUAAUUAUGAUAAUUGUUGUUUGAUAGAUUGUAUUUCCUUGUUGCUAUCCAUGUUGAAUUCUCCUCAUGCCUAUAAUCAAAAUAAAGCUUUUAUUAAACAUAUCGUUGAUGCUAUGAUGAAAUCUUUUGAAGAAAAGCCUGAAUUGGAAGUUAAUAUUCCUAGAAAACUUUAUGAUGAGUGGGAACCUACUAUUAAGAUUAAGAUUAGAUAUUAUGAGUGCCAUGCUUUGUGUGAUUUGGGUGCUAGCGUUUCCACAAUUCCAAAAACUUUAUGUGAUGUGUUACGUUUCCGUGAAUUUGAUGAUUGUUCUUUAAAUUUGCAUCUUGCGAAUUCCACUAUUAAGAAGCUAUGGGAAGAAUUAAUGACAUUAUUAUUGUUGAAAAUAGGAAUUAUGUGCUCGUAUAUUUCAUUAUUCUUGAUAUAUAUUGCAAUCCUACAUGUCCUAUUAUUCUUGGUAGACCUUUCCUUAGAACGAUUGGUGCAAUUAUUGAUAUGAAAGAAGGAAACAUUAUAUUUCAAUUUCCGCUAAGGAAGGGCAUGGAACACUUUCUUAGAAAGAAAAUUAAGUUUCCAUAUGAAUAUAUUAUGAGAGCUACUUAUGGAUUGCAUACCAAAGAUGACAAUACCAAGAUCUAUGUUUUUAUGCCUUGCUAAGGGCGUUAAACAAUAGCGCUUGUUGGGAGGCAACCCAAUUUUAUUUUUGUUCUUGCUUUUUUGGUUCUGGUUUUCAAUAAAUAAUUCAUCUAGCCUCUAGUUAGAUGUGUUUUCAUGUUUUAAUUAGUGUUUGAGCCAAGUAAGACCUUUGGGAUGGCUUACGGUGAUAGUUGAUUUGAUCUUGCUGAAAAACAGAAACUUUUGUGAGCAUGAAAAUAUUUUUUGUUUUUAACAGAGGUGUGUUAAAACACUGAUUCUUUUUGCAGAAGAUUAAUAUACAAAUUAGCCAGGUUGUCCUAAUUUUUAGAAUUUGUGGAAUUACAGAAGUAUUCGAGAUUGACAGAUUGCUACAGACUGUUCUGUUUUUGACAUAUUAUGUUUUGUAUGUGUUGUUUGCUUAUUUUGAUGAAUCUAUGGGUAGUAUCGGGGGGUAUGAACCAUGGAUAAGUUGGAAUACAGUAGAUAUGACACCGAUAUAAAUAAAGAAUGAGUUCACAAUAGUACCAAAAGUGGUGAUUUAUUUUCUUAUACUAACGAAUCUCAUGAGUUUUCUGUUGAGUUUUGUGUUGUGAAGUUUUCAAGCUUUGGGUAAAGAUUUGAUGGACUAUGGAAUAAGGAGUGGCAAGAGCCUAAGCUUGGGGAUUCCCAAGGCAACCCAAGGUAAUAUUCAAGGAAAACCAAGAGCCUAAGCUUGGGGAUGCCUCAGAUGGCAUCCCCUCUUUCGUCUUUGUCUAUCGGCAAAUUUACUUGAGACUAUAUUUUUAUUAACCACAUGAUAUGUGUUUUGCUUGGAGCGUCUUGUAUGAUAUGAGGCUUUGAUUUUUAGUUUGCCACAAUCUUCCUUGUUGUACACACCUUUUGAGAGGGACAUGCAUGAAUCGUGAUUUAUUAGAAUACUCUAUGUGCUUCACUUAUAUUUUUUGAGCUAGGCAAUUUUGCUCUAGUGCUUCACUUAUAUCUUUUUAGAGCACGACGGUGGUUUUAUUUGAUAGAAAUUGUUGAACUCUCAUGCUUCACUUAUAUUAUUUUGAGAGUCUCUCUAAAAAAGCAUGGUCAUUUGCUUUUGUUAUGAAUUUAGUCCUAAUAUGAUGGGUAUCCAAGAGGGAUAUAAUAAAAACUUUCAUAUAAAGUGCAUUGAAUACUAUGUGAAGUUUGAUUCUUUAUGAUUGUUUUGAUAUAUAAAGAUGAUGAUAUUAGAGUCAUGAUAGUGAGUAAUUGUGUAUUGGUAGAAAUACUUGUGUUAAAGUUUGUGAUUCCCGUAGCAUGCACGUAUGGUGAACCGUUAUGUGAUGAAGUCGGAGCAUGGUUUAUUUAUUGAUUGUCUUCCUUAUGAGUGGUGGUCGGGGACGAGCGAUGGUCUUUUUCUACCAAUCUAUCCCCCUAGGAGCAUGCGCGUAGUACUCUGUUUCAAUGACUAAUAGAAUUUUGCAAUAAGUAUGUGAUUUCUUUAUGACUAAUGUUGAGUCCAUGGAUUAUACACACUCUCACCCUUCCACCAUUGCUAGCCUCUCUAGUACCGCGCAACUUUCGCCGGUUCCUUACACCUACCUUAUCCCUUCCUCAAAACAACCACCAUACCUACCUAUUAUGGCAUUUCCAUAGCCAUUCCAAGAUAUAUUGCCAUGCAACUGCUAUCGUUCCAUUUUAUUAUGACACGCUCCAUCAUUGUCAUAUUGUUUUGCAUGAUCGUAAGAUAGCUAGCAUGAUGUUUACUUCGCUUGUUCGUUUUUUGAAGUCAUUUGCUAUGCUAGAUCAUUGCACAUCCCGGUACACCACCGGAGGCAUUCAUAUAGAGUCAUAUUUUGUUCUAAGUUUCGAGUUGUAAUUCUUGAGUUGUAAGUAAAUAAAAGUGUGAUGAUCAUCAUUAUUAGAGCAUUGUCCCAUGUGAGGAAAAGAUGAUGGAAUGUGACGCCCCGAUUCAAUCGUACACUAAUCAUACACGCAAAUGUGUACGAUCAAGAUCAGGGACUCACGGGAAGAUAUCACAACACAACUCUGGACACAAAUAAAAUAAUACAAGCUUCAUAUUACAAGCCAGGGGCCUCGAAGGUUCGAAUACAUAGCUCGAUACACCAGAGUCAGCGGAAGCAACAAUAUCUGAGUACACACAUAAGUUAAACAAGGAUGCCUUAAGAAGGCUAGCACAAAAGCAACACGAUCGAAGAGGCAAGGCCUCCUGCCUGGGACCUCCUAACUACUCCUGGUCUUCAGCGGCCUCCAUAUAGUAGUAGUCGACGGGGGUGGCAUCUGGCUCCAAGGAUCCACCAUCUGGUUGCAACAAUCGGAAAGAAGUAAGAAGGGGGAAAAGGGGGGGGUAGCAAAGCAACCGUGAGUACUCAUCCAAAGUACUCGCAAGCAUCAGAUCUAUACUAAGUAUGCAUUUGUAUCAAAUGGAAGGGUUGUAUCUGUGGACUGAACUGCAGAAUGCCAGAAUAGAGGGGGGAAGCCUAGCCUAUCGAAGACUAGCAUCUUCACGCAACUCCGAGCAUCUUGCAGCAUGUAGAAGAGUAAAGAAUAGCAGUUUAUAAUUAAGAAGCAUGUUGUAACAUUAAUGCCCAGAGAUCCUUCCUCGACUCCCUGCAAGAAAGCAAUCUCGGAGCCACAUAUCUCAAGUAUCCAUUUGUAGUUGUAUAAGAUCAGGAUAUAAGUCUGAAUGUCCGUUACCGUGGACACGGCUAUUAAUAGAUAAUCUUCCCUGCAAGGGUGCACCACGUUUUCCAACACGCUUGAUUACUCUGGCCGGACACACUUUUCCGAGUCAAUGCCCGGCCUCGGAAGAUCAACACGUCAUAGCCCUACCUAGGCUCAGCAGAGAGGUCCCCGCCGGUCUACAUCCUAAGCACUCCGGGGUCUGGGCCCAUCGCCCGUUGCACUCCGGAUCAUUGCGCGGAGGGCGAUCCAGGCCACCUCCACUGGGGCGCCGACCAGGCCGUGCCGCAAUGCUGAACUAGAUGUCUGACAAAGCUUCGGCUGAUACCACGACGCCGAGGCCCAUAACUAUUCUCGCGUGGUGGUUGGUGCGUAAAGGCCAAAGGCCAACUCAGAACAAAUACCCAAACCAUAGUGUAUUAUUAGCUUGCGGAGACGAGCAGAGACUCACGAUCGAAAGUGACCCCGUCGCCCCGUCUCGCGGACUUACGACAAGGGCCUAGAAUGCCCGGCCGUGCCAUGUCAUUAACUUGCGGGUGCUCUCCGGGCCUGCCCGACAUUCACCAAGGUCUCAAGUAAAGUCAUUGUAACCGUGUGUCCAAACAUCAAGGGGAAAACCCGAGGAAUUACCCACGGAGGAUUCCACUCGAUGUAAUCAUCAAGGUGAACGUACGAGGGACCACCCUCGAGGUUCACACUUGAGGUGUUGAACGACAGAGCCGUAUCGAGAAUGGUGAAAGAGGAAAUCACCCUCGAUGACCACGACCGAAUAGCUACACUACACAAUUAUCAUCAAGAGUGUGUUAUGAGGGAUCAUCCUCGGCACUCGAUAGUAGCUCUGCAGAGUCGAUGUGAUGUGAGGUGUCGGGCUCUGGUCAUCGAUCACGUUGAUCGAGUCGUCGAUGAUGAAGCAGGGACAACAAGGACAAGGUGGGGGUCACUGAUGGAUCACUAACCAACCUAUACUAAGCAGUUUAGGAUAAGCAGGUAGGUAACAAUAGCAUUUACAAAAGCAGGCUAUGCAUCAGAAUAGGAGCAAACAAUAACAGUAGCAGAAUCUAAUGCAAGUAUGAGAGUAUAGAAUGGGCGAUGUCGAGAUGAUCAAAGGGGGGGCUUGCCUGGUUGCUCAGACAAGGAGGGCCGUCGUCGACGUAGUCGAUCACAGGGGCAUCAACAGCGGUCUCGGGGUCUACCGGAGAAGAAGAGGGGGAAGAAACAGUAAAUACAGAGCAAACAGAUGCAUAACAAGACAAUAAGUGGGCCUAGAAGUGUUCUAACGCAGCGCUAGGCGAUACUGGCGAAGGGGGAAAACAUCCGGGAAAGUUUUCCCGGUUCCGGACAUUUGUCAGAUAGAUGAACCGGAGGGGAAAAAUUCAAUGUUUGCUAUGCUAGGAACGUGUGGCGGAUGAACGGACCGCGUAUUCGGAUUCGUCUCGUCGUUCUGAGCAACUUUCAUGUAUUAAACAUUUUCAUCUGAGUUAUGGUUUAUUUUCUACGAAUUCCAAAGUUUUAUCAAUAAUCUAAAAUUUAUGGAAUUGUGCAUUCAUUUUAAUCCGAAUUGACCAAGUCAAACUGACUAGUCAAAAGUUGACUGGGGUCCACCUGUCAGUGACUAGACUUAGUUAGACUUUAAUUAAAUUAGAUUGAUUAGAAGUAGGGGCCACAUGUCAUACACAUUAGACUAAUUAAUCAACUAACCUAGCUAACCUAAUUAGUACUACUAAUUAGAAUCAGGGCUGGCCGUACUGGACAGUGUCCAGCCGGCCACACACCCACACACUCACGCACACACAGCACACAGCACACACACACACACACACGGGCGCUGCACACAACUAGAGGUUAAAACUGUUUCCUUGUCAAGAGAAGAUAGCAUUUUGCGAUUUUCAUAUGAUUUAAACCAUGCAUCAAAUGGAUUUGGUCCAAUGAACACAUUUAAGCCUUGUCAAGUGUACUACCAUCCCAUAUUUUUUAGUCCUGUUAACAGUUGUUUAACAGUAGAUUAGGAGCUGUCUAGGGGUUAGUCGCUGGCUGUGAUUNNNNNNNNNNNNNNNNNNNNNNNNNNNNNNNNNNNNNNNNNNNNNNNNNNNNNNNNNNNNNNNNNNNNNNNNNNNNNNNNNNNNNNNNNNNNNNNNNNNNNNNNNNNNNNNNNNNNNNNNNNNNNNNNNNNNNNNNNNNNNNNNNNNNNNNNNNNNNNNNNNNNNNNNNNNNNNNNNNNNNNNNNNNNNNNNNNNNNNNNNNNNNNNNNNNNNNNNNNNNNNNNNNNNNNNNNNNNNNNNNNNNNNNNNNNNNNNNNNNNNNNNNNNNNNNNNNNAGACUUGCCCGUAUCUUUAGCAUUAUUGCUAAUUUAGCAGCAGCAGUAUCCAGUAGAGCAGCGGCAGAAGAGCAAGUAGCAGCAGACAGCGGUGUGGCGCGGGCGUGGCGAGGCUGGCGCGGCGGCCAGCAGUAGGGGAGGAGUGCGGCGGCGAUGGCGAGUGGCAAGAAGCGAGCAGGGACACGGUGACAGGCGGGGCAUGACCACACGCGGGAGCGGAGCUCCGGCCAUGGCGUCCGGAACGCCGGUCGACGAGCAGCGGCAGCAGGGCGGUGGGCCUGGCGGAGGCACCGCCACGCGCGGGCGAGCACGCACGGGGACGCGGUCGGGUGCAGCCGGUCGUGGCCAGAGGCCAACGGAGCACGCCGAGGGAGUUGUGCUAGCGGCCGGAGGCUACAACAACGAGCCGGAGAUGCGCUAAUGGACCGAAUCCAGCGGGGAAAAGGAGGAGAAGGAGUAGAGGCUCACGGUGUGGCACACGAAAGGCCGGCGACGGAUUAGUAGUAGCAGGACGGUCGCAGCGGACGGAGCUCACCGGCGUCCGCGGGUGGGGAAAAGAGCUCGAUCCCGAUGGUGGNNNNNNNNNNNNNNNNNNNNNNNNNNNNNNNNNNNNNNNNNNNNNNNNNNNNNNNNNNNNNNNNNNNNNNNNNNNNNNNNNNNNNNNNNNNNNNNNNNNNNNNNNNNNNNNNNNNNNNNNNNNNNNNNNNNNNNNNNNNNNNNNNNNNNNNNNNNNNNNNNNNNNNNNNNNNNNNNNNNNNNNNNNNNNNNNNNNNNNNNNNNNNNNNNNNNNNNNNNNNNNNNNNNNNNNNNNNNNNNNNNNNNNNNNNNNNNNNNNNNNNNNNNNNNNNNNNNNNNNNNNNNNNNNNNGGUCAACGACGACGGAGCUUCGUGACACCAAGAGGCGGCGAGAGGAGCUUGGUGGCCGCGCCUAUGGCGGGGGCAUGGCGAUGGUGGUUGCGGGUGCGGGCGGAUCUGAGCGAGGGAGCCAAGGGGGAUUGGAACGGGGUAGCUAGGGUUUCGGGGAGGGAGAGAGGGGCGCCCGGGGAGGUGCCUUGUAGCCGUCGGGGAGGCGGGGAUGGCCGCUACGCACGGCACGGCCGGCGGAUUGCCGCCACGGCCCUCCUGUCCCCUGUAGCGAGAGGAAUAGGGCAAGUGGGGGUGGGUUGGGCCUUGGCUGUGCUGGGCCAAAGAGCAAAGGGCUUUUCCUCUUUCUCUUCUCCCCUAUUUUUUUGUUAUAGCCUUUUCUCUUUUCAUAUUAGUGCCUCUGUUUUCUUUUAUUUUUAGGGCACUAAGCCACUUUAUAAAAAGUUGGACCACCACAAAUAUCAACAAAUGAUUAUUUGCAACAACUCGAACAUUUUAGUUUUGACAUUUGAAAACUUUUAUAGUUUGACUUGAUUUUAAAUUUUGAAUUCGAACGGGAUCGAAUCAUCACGAGAUUAACAACAGUAAUUGCGGUGACGUGGCAAUAUUAGUGGAGGGUUACUAUAGCUUAUUUAUCCGGGCGUCACAUGGAAGCUAUGAUUCCCUCACAAAUUGGGAUGAGUCUCCGGACUUUAAAAAAAAUAAAAGAUGCUAAAGAGGCCCACAAAAAAAGAGAGAAAGGAAAAAAAUGAGAGAAAAGACAGAAGGGGUAAUUACUAUCCUUUUUCCACACUUGUGCUUCAAAGUAGCACCAUGAUCUUCAUGAUAGAGAGUCUCCUAUAUUAUCACUUUCAUAUACUAGUGGGAAUUUUUCAUUAUAGAACUUGGCUUGUAUAUUCCAAUGAUGGGCUUCCUCAAAUUGCCCUAGGUCUUCGUGAGCAAGCGAGUUGGAUGCACACCCACUUAGUUUCUUUUUGAGCUUUCAUAAACCUAUAGCUCUAGUGCAUCCGUUGCAUGACAAUCCCUACUCACUCACAUUGAUAUCUAUUAAUGGGCAUCUCCAUAGCCCGUUGAUACACCUAGUUGAUGUGAGACUAUCUCCUCCUUUUUGUCUUCUCCACAACCACCAUAUUCUAUUCCACCUAUAGUGCUAUAUCCAUAGCUCACACUCAUGUAUUGCGUUAAAAGUUGAAAAAGUUUGACAACAUCAAAAGUAUGAAACAAUUGUUUGGCUUGUCAUCGGGGUUGUACAUGAUUUAAUAUUUUGUGUGAUGAAGAUGGAGCAUAGCCAGACUAUAUGAUUUUUAGGGAUAAAUUUCUUUGGCCAUGUUAUUUUGAGAAUACAUGAUUGCUUUAUUAGUAUGCUUCAAGUAUUAUUGUUUUUAUGUCAACACUAAAAUUUUGUUUUGAAUCUUAUGGAUCUGAACAUUCAUGCCACAAUAAAGAAAAUAACAUGGAUAAAUAUGUUAGGUAACAUUACACAUCAAAAAUUCUAUUUUUAUCAUUUACCUACUUGAGGACGAGCAGGAACUAAGCUUGGGGAUGCUUGAUAUGUCUCCAACGUAUCUAUAAUUUUUGAUUGUUCCAUGCUAUUAUAUUAUCUGUUUUUGAUGUUUUAUAUGCAUUAUUAUGCUAUUUUAUAUUAUUUUGGGACUAAAUUAUUAACUUAGAGCCCAGUGCCAGUUUUUGUUUUUUCCUUGUUUUUGAGUUUCGCAGAAAAGGAAUAUCAAACGAAGUCCAAACGGAAUAAAACUUUCGCGAUGAUUUUUCUUGCACCAGAAGACACCCACGGGACAUGGAGUCCAAGCCAGAAGAGCCACGAGGCGGUGGCAAGGGUGGAGGGCGUGCCCUAGGGGGGCGCCCCUACCUCGUGCCCCCCUCGGGACUCUCCUGACCUACCUCCUCGUCCUAUAUAUUCACAUAUAUUCCAAAACCCUCAGAGGGAGCCACGAAAAUACUUUUCCACCACCGCAACCUUUUGUUCCCGUCAGAUCCCAUCUUGGGGCCUUUUCCGGCUUCCUAACGGAGGGGGAUUCGAUCAUGGAGGGCAUCUAAAUCAACCCUAUUGCCCUUCCGAUGAAGCGUGAGUAGUUUACCACAGACCUAUGGGUCCAUAGCUAGUAGCUAGAUGGCUUCUUCUCUCUCUUUUAUUCUCAAUACCAUGUUCUCCUCGAUGUCCUUGGAGAUCUAUCCGAUGUAAUCUUCUUUUGUGGUGAGUUUGUCGAGAUCCAAUGAAUUGUGGAUUUAUGACCAUCUUACCUAUGAAUAUAUUUGAAUCUUCUCUGAAUUCUUAUAUUCAUAGAUAACCUGAUAAUAAAACCGAUAGUUCGAAGAGAAUUACAAAGAUAUCAAAUGAUGCAUAUAAGAAUUCAGAGAAGAUUCAAAUAAUAUUCAUAGGUAAGCUAAUCAUAAAUCCACAAUUCAUCGGAUCUUGACAAACACACCGCAAAAGAAGAUUACAUCGUAUAGAUCUCUAAGAACAUCGAGGAGAACAUGGUAUUGAGAAUCAAAGAGAGAGAAGAAGCCAUCUAGCUACUAGCUAUGGACCUGUAGGUGUGAGGUAAACUACUCACGCUUCAUCGGAAGGGCAGUAGAGUUGAUGUAGAUGCCCUCCAUGAUCGAAUCCCCCUUCGACAGGAUGCCGGAAAAGGCCCCAAGAUGGGAUCUCACGGGAACAGAAGGUUGCGGCGGUGGAAAAGUGUUUUCAUGGAUGCUUCUGGUGGUUUAGGAAUAUAUGUGAAUAUAUAGGAGGAAGAUCUAGCUCAGGGGUCACCGAGGGGCCCACAAGGUAGGGAGGCGCGCCUUACCCCCCUGGGUGUGCCCUCCACCCUUUUGGCCGCCUCGUGGCUCUUUUGACUUGCACUCCAACUGUCCUGGGUGUCUUCUGGUCCAAGAAAAAUCAUCGCAGAGGUUUUAUUCCGUUUGGGAUCCAUUUGGUAUUCCUUUUCUGCGAAUCUCAAAAACAAGGAAAAAAAUAGAAAACUGGCACUGGGCUCAAGGUUAAUAAGUUAAUCCCAAAAAUAAUAUAAAUAAGAUAUUAAUGCAUAUAAAACAUCGAAAACAGAUAAUAUAAUAGCAUGGAACAAUAUAAAAUUAUAGAUACAUUGGAGACAUAUCAAGCAUCCCCAAGCUUAAGAAAUUCUUCCUACUACUUCUUGAGCUUGCAUUGGUUUUUCCAUUGAAGAGGAAUGGGUGAUGCAGCAAAGUAGAGAUAAGUAUUUCCCUCAGUUAGAGAACGAAGGUAUCAAUACAAUAGGAGACAACACACAAAUCACCAAUACCUGCACAAACAAUCAAACAACUUGCACCCAACACGACAAAGGGGUUGUCAAUCCCUUCACGGUCACUUGCAAAAGUGAGAUCUCAUAGAGAUAGAUAAAAAUAAACAAAAGAUAAAGUAAAUAUUUUUGUGUUUUUGGAUUUAUGGAUCGGAAAGUAAAAGAUUGCAAAAUAGUAGAUCAAAAACUAAUAUGAUGGAAAAUAAUAGAUCGGAAAAUUAUAUGAUGGGAAAUAGACUCGGGGGCUAUAGGUUUCACUAGAGGCUUCUCUCAAGAUAGCAAAUAAUAUGGUGGAUGAACAAAUUACUGUCGAGCAAUUGAUAGAAAAGCGCAAAGUUAUGACGAUAUCUAAGGCAAUGAUUAUGAAAUAUAGGCAUCACGUCCGUGUCAAGUAGACCGACUCCUGCCUGCAUCUACUACUAUUACUCCACACAUCGACCGAGUCCUGCCUGCAUCUAGAGUAUUAAGUUCAUGAAGAACAGAGUAACACAUUAAGUAAGAUGACAUGAUGUAGAGGAAUAAACUCAAGCAAUAUGAUGUAAACCCCAUAUUUUUAUCCUCGAUGGCAAUAAUACAAUACGUGCCUUGCUACCCCUACUGUCACUGGGAAAGGACACCGCAAGAUUGAACCCAAAGCUAAGCACUUCUCCCAUGGCAAAAAAAACCAAUCUAGUUGGCCAAACUAAACCGAUAGUUCGAAGAGAAUUAAAAAGAUAUCAAAUCAUGCAUAUAAGAAUUCAGAGAAGAUUCAAAUAAUAUUCAUAGAUAAACUGAUCAUAAAUUCGCAAUUCAUCGGAUCUCGAGAAACACACUGCAAAAGAAGAUUACAUAGGAUAGAUCUCCAAGAACAUCAAGGAGAACAUGGUAUUGAGAAUCAAAGAGAGAGAAGAAGCCAUCUAGCUACUAGCUAUGGAUCCGUAGGUCUGAGGUAAACUACUCACACUUCAUCGGAAGGGCAAUGGAGUUGAUGUAGAUGCCCUCGGUGAUCGAAUCCCCCUCUAGCAGGAUGCUGGAAAAGGCCCCAAGAUGGGAUCUCACGGGAACAGAAGGUUGCGGUGGUGGAAAAGUGCUUUCGUGGAUGCUUCUAGUGGUUUGGGAAUAUAUGCAAAUAUAUAGGAGGAAGAUCUAUGUCAGGGGGUCAUCGAGGGUCCCACAAGGUAGGGGGCAUGCCCUACCCCCUGGGCGCGCCCUCCACCCUUGUGGCCACCUCGUGGCUCUUCUAUAUUGCACUCCAAGUUUCCUGGGUGUCUUAUGGUCCAAGAAAAAUCAUCGCGAAGGUUUUAUUCCGUUUGGACUCCGUUUGGUAUUCCUUUACUGCGAAGCUCAAAAACAAGGAAAAAACAAAAACUGGCACUAGCCUCUAGUUUAAUAAGUUAGUCCAAAAAUAAUAUAAAGUAGCAUAUUAAUGCAUAUAAAACAUCCAAAAUAGAUAAUAUAAUAGCAUGGAACAUUAAAAAAUUAUAGAUACGUUGGAGACAUAUCAAGCAUGCCCAAGCUUAAUUCAUGCUCGUCCUCGAGUAGGUGAAUGAUAAAAACCAAAUUUUUGAUGUGGAAUGCUACCUAACAUAUUUAUCCAUGUAAUUUUUCUUUGUUGUGGCAUGAAUGUUCAGAUCCAUAAGAUUCAAAACAUGUGACGCCCGGAUAAUUAGGCUACAGUAAACCUCCGUUAAUGAUGCCACGUCACCACGGUUACUGUUGCUAAUCUCGCGUUAGUUCGAAACCGAUUCAAAUUCAAAUUCAAAAGAAAAGCAAGCAACAAAAGUUUUCAAAAAAUUAAAACUAAAAUGUUCGGGUUGUUUCAAAUAAAUCGUAAGCAAUUAUGAUGGAGAAACCAAGAUUUUAUAGAAUGCUUAAAUGAGCUAUAAGGAUUUAAACAGUAGCAAAAACAAUUAAUUAAAUGCCUUUUACAAUUAAUAAAUUACUAAACUAUUUUAUUUUGUCACCAAACUUUUUGUGGCAUUGGGGUAUUUUGUAACACUAAUUUAGGUACUACUUGUAUAUUUUAUAAAACAAAAUUAUAUAGAAAAUAAAAUAGAAAGCUAAUAAAAAGAAAACAAAUAAAUACAAAAAAAAAA
rnacentral:lncRNA from 1 species